GGCUGUGGAGGUUUCACAUGUAAAGGAGCAACAACAUGCGUAUUGAAUAAGCUUUGAUACAGCUCCUUGUACGACAUUAAAAUUGGCGUGAACUGGAGCUUUUCAGUACCUGGCUUCACAUAUGAUUCUUGCUUUAAAGGAACUUGAUGGCUGGUGGUUUCUGUCUUUAACCGGCCCACAAUGAUUGGUCUUGAGUGGCCCUUGUUAUAUCUACCUUCAUUUUUCCCCUUAUUCCCUUUCUUCCUUGAGGCUUUUAUAGUAUCUGGGUGCUCUACCUUCACCUGUUUUAUUUCUGAUGAAUUGUCAAGAGCAACAGGAUUGGAUUUUGAGUUUGUCAGGUGAUAUACUAGUGUCGAUGUACCAGUCAGAUAUUGUCAGGAUCUGAUAGUAAAGAGUGCCUCUUGUGGACAUGCGUCUGGUUGGGCUGGACACUUAUCAAGGUAAAAUCUGAAGAAUAUAUAGGGUCCUCAUUAUCAUCCCUAAAGUGAGCCUCUAGGCUUUUCCCUUUACUCAAUAACUAGGUUAGCUGGCUCAUAUUUAUUUGGAAUUCUGGCAUCUGAUUCCUCAUUUCUUGUUAAAAUUCAGUCAAUUGCUCUUGCAUCUGUAUUUGCAUUUGCUUUAUUCUCUCCAAUCUUUAGUCCAUGCCUUCUAACUUUGCUUGGGUACUAUAAUGGUGUUCGGUUGAUUGGUUGGUUUCCAGAUUAACUGAGGAAUGAUGUAAAUUAAUUAGAAUCUUUUAAUGUUUUUAAAUGCAUAUGAAGUAAUGCAAUGCAUGAAUGCAAAAAGACGUCAAUUUUGAUUCAAUUCCAUAUAAGAAAACCUUACUAGAAAGCAAAUUUUUUUACAUAAAGCGAAUUACAAGUAAGACUUUGCCCUAGUACCCAGAACUCUGAUCUUCCUAAGUAACAAAACUAAUUCUUGCCCCCGAUCCGAUUCUAAUUCAUACUUCAUACUCAGCAUGUCAGCCUGUACUGCUAAAAUCUGUACGUAAUCAGCUACUUCUCGAAUCUAGACUACAGCUUCCUUCAUAAGAUAAUCUCUGCUCCUAACUUGACUCUGAAAAUGGUGGAGCUGUUCAUUAUUACUACUUUCGUUUGCGUUCAAGUGCUUGAUCUGGAUCUCACAAUUUUGCAGAACCGUUUCUAGCUCUUCCAAGGAAUGCACUUGUUGUCCCUCUUUUGCUUAACUGGUGCAGCGACCCACUACUCACUCAUCCCUGUUAUACCUAUCAGCUUCUUUGAAAAGGUUGGCACAUUUACCGUUCUCGAGUAAACUCUAUCCACUUGAAACUUUGAACAUCGGAGUAAAGCCACAUAUUUUUCUAUCGUAGGUACCAAAUCGACAUUCCCAAAUGUGAAGCAAUUGUAAGCAGGAUUCCAAAACUGGGCGAGGGCUCGAAACAAAUGUUUGUCUACCUUCACAUCAAGCAAAUAAGGCAAGUCCCCAUAAUUGUCGUAAAAUAACUGCCUAGCCUCAUUAUUCCAUUGAUUCCAAAUUUCUUUCAACUCCUGCAAAUUGUUUUGAGUUACACUGAUGCGAGUAAAAUCUCAUAAUUCCGAUACAUACCCAUCGGCCAGGCUAUCACCCUUUUCUUGCUGUGUUGUUUCAGACCAAGUUCGGACAGCCGCAUUGUCCUCCACUUUAUCAAGAAACCCUUUUUCCAUGUCAAGCUUUCUAUCUAGCAACCGAAUCUGAACUGUCGCCUUUUAUGAUGAAAUGAAAUGCCAUGUCAUGUCAUGUCAUGCAAACAAAAUAAAACACAAAAGGUCAGUGUCAUAUAAUAAUAUAAAAUAUAAUCAAGAAACAGUAAAACACCUAAUCGGAUGUCUACUAGGGUUCAGUAUAGUUCUACCUAGGGUGGAUUCCUAAGGUUCAUUAUAUGAAGUUUUGCUUCUAGGGUAAAGGUACCCGAACCAGCAGAUUCCUCCAUCCUCACCCAUUAUAGGCUCAUAUGGAUCGAGUUCGGUUCAGGGGAAUUCAUUUCCCUAUGGCUGCACGGAGAUGAAAAUCUCACGAAGACAUAGGUACGGAUGUAUCCUGGAAGCAAUCCACAACCCUACACGGAGGUGAAAACCUCACGAAGGCAUAGCUUCUCACUCCCACUUAAAAGGGUAAAAAUGUUCAACUCAUGAAAUGCAUAAUGCAAACAAUAUUUAAGGAAUAUGAUAAUGAAUGCGAAAUGAUGUUAUGAUUUUUUUAAAAAAAUAUUUUUCUCGACCGUAAGACAAAAAUUAAUCAACUUUGUGGCUCGACUCUCUUCUUUUUUUUAAAAAAAAUCUCCCUAGUGGAGUCGCCAAGCUGUCGAAACCAUUUUUUUGAAAACAAAAAAUUUAGGUUGUCGACUCUAAAAAAAUGAAAAUUUGGGAGUCGCCACCAAUCUUUUAUUGAGGUGUGAUUGGAUCACCUAAAAAAAUGGCUUUGGUAUACGAGUUUUAGAAAAACGGAUCCGGGAAUCAGUUACAUACGAGGAAGGAUUAGCACCCUCGUAACGCCCAAAAUUGGUACCUAGUUAAUUAAUUAGUAUCUUAAGGUCGAGAAUUUGGAGAAAAUGUAAUCCUUAGCAAAACUUAAAAGGCUACGUAUUAAGACCCUUAUUAUUUUAGAGAAAGAAGAUACCACACCCAAUUCGUUAGGGCGCAGCAUUCUAAUUUUCCCCAAAAUGAAUUGGGCCAAAAUACUUGUACAAUAAAACUUUAAAAGAACAUCCACUCAUCCAAGAUUUAAGAAAUCACACCCAAUACGUUAGGGCACGAUUCCUCUAGAAUCCCGAACUCGGAAUAUUUCCUUUACUUUAAAAGAACAUCCACUUAUCCAAGAUUUAAGAAAUCACACCCAAUACGUUAAGGCACAAUUCUUAUAAAAUCUCAAACUCGGAAUAUUUCCUUUAUUAUUUUUUAAAAAAAAUCUUCAUUUCGAGAAAUCAGUGCGUCACAUCCAAUACGUUAGGACACAACUUGUUGAAUUCCCAAUAAUGAGUUUUUAUUUUGUUUGAUUGAAGAGAAAUGCUCGAUUGUCAGAUUUAACGAAGAAAAUCGGAACCCAAUACAUUAUGGCUCAAUUCCCUUGAAAAUCCUAAAUACGAACAUUAUCUCAAUUUAAAAAAAAAUUCUAUCUUUAAAUUUCAGUAAAAAAUGAUGUAACGUGAUUUUAUACAUACAAAUGCUAUAAUAAUAAUAACAACAAUAAAUACAUCAUCGACAUAAAAAUAAUAUAAGCAAAUGAAUAAAACGAAAUAAAAAAAGGGUAAUCCAUGACAUGCAAAAUAUUAAAUGUAAACACAAUUAUACAAUGGAUGAGAUAGCAAACAAAUAAAUAAGGAUCAAAAGAUGUACACAUAGAAAUUAUGAAGAUUAAAAAUAUACAUAUAAUUUACAAAUAAAAUUUUUAAUUUAUAUAUAAAUACAACACAUAAUAUACUUAUGAAAAUAAGGAAAAAAAAUAAGUAUAUUUUAAAAAAGGAAAAAAAGGUGCGUAUUUAAUCACUUAAAAACGUAAAUAUAUACAUAUAUAUAUGAAAAUAUUCAUUUUAAAAAAAGGAAAAUAUUCGUUUUUAAAAAAUAUAUAUAUGUGUACAUAUAAAAGGAAUAUAUAUAAAUAAAAAAUUAGAAUAAAAAUAAUAAUUACACUAUUAAUUAAUAAAAUAAAUAAAAAGAACAUAAAAAAACUAAAUUGAAUUGCAAUUAAAAAAUCUGAGGUAAAUCCACAAAUAAAUAAAAGUAAAAGGACUAAUUUGAACGCGCGAGUUAAAAUUGGAAUUUUAAAUAAAUAAAAGGGUAAAUUAAAAAAAUAAAAAAAACUUAAUUACAAAAACAUUAAAAGGCGGAGGGGCUAAAUAAAAAUAGAAUAAAAUUCGCAGUGGUAUCACCUUCUCCUUGUUUUUUAAAAUCGUAAAUAAGUAAAAAAUAAUCGAACGAAAAAAAUAGUAAGCCACCUUUAAAAAACUGCCGAUCGUUCUCUUUUUUUUUUAUUUCUCCUCCCUCCUUUUUCUCUUUUUUUUAUUACAAUGAAGGGAGAUGCCUCUAUUUAUAGCUGAGCCUCCCCAAAUCCAACGGUACAGAUCAGUUACAUCAACGGCUGAGAUUAAAGGGUAUCUACAAAUUAAAUCUCUAAGAUUACAAAAUGAUAUAUUCUAAGAUUGCAUAUCAUAUCUAAGAUUAUAUAUCAUCUCUAAGAUUGCAUAUCAUAUCUAAGAUUGCAUAUAUCAUAUCUUGGAUUGCAUAUCAUAUCUAAGAUUGCAUAUCCUCAAAAAUUAUGUUUCCAUAUGUGAGCCCGGGCUAAAAUUGGGUAUUACAUUUAUCAUAUUACAUCUCAAUUUCUUAUUAUCAUAUUCAUUUGUAACUUUUUACUUAUUUCACAAUUUAGUCCUUAAGUCCUCAAAUCAACCUAUAAAAAGUACUACUCUUUUUAAUACAUGUAUCAUAUUUCACCAUUUAGUGUAAAUUUUCAUAAUUCCAUCACUAUUUCUUCCACCCUUUUUUUUACAUUUUUAACUUACUAGUCAUUGUCUUUCUUAUACUCCCUCAAAUACAUUCAAUUUACUUAUGUCUUCACUUUACUAGUUCAAUAUUUCGAACAUUAAUCGGAGAUAAACCUUUACCUUGUAACGAAAAUUGUUUACCUUUUUAGAGAGGCCCAGUAGACUAAAUAGAACUAUUAGGAUAUACGAAACUGAUACAGAGGUGCACUAAAGUGCACUAAUAGAACAAUAGGCACCAAAGUGCAAAGUAGUAGGCACUGAAGUGCGGAACGAUAAACACCGAAGUGCGAAACGGUAAGCGUUAAAGAGCAAGACAAUAAGCGCGCUAAAAUUUCCUUAAUGGCAUGACAUCUAUAUCCCAAUAGUUCUAAUCUCAUCUACUUGGGCAAAUUAUAUCAUGCACACAUAUCACUUUAACACUUUUACAUAACACAUUUAUAUUUUUUUACAAUUUAGUCCUUGUAACAACAAUCCAUAUACUUAUAUCUUCCACUAUCUUUAAUACAUGUAAUAUAUCUCUAAAUUCAAUAUUCAUCUAUAAUUAACUAAUAAUCCUUAUCAUGUAUUUCACAUAUCACUUUUAUAUAUUUUGUAAUUUAGUCAUUAGCACAAUAUUUCAUGUAACAAUAUAUUUUACUUUUAAUAACACAUAUAACGUAAUUCAAUACUUAUUAAUAUUCCAAAAUUCACUACAACAUCAUUUUUUUUCUCAUUCUAAGUGUUAUGCACUUCACUUCUCUAUUUCUAAUAUAAUUUUUUUCAAAUUUACGAUUUAACCCUUAAUUUCCACAACUUAGGAAAUAAUUGUAGUUUGGAUUACAAAAUUCAUAUAUUAUUUUUUUACUAUGUGCUUUAUUAUCAAUAUUUUCUUGCAAACCUUUAUAAUUUUCCAAUUUUGUAACACCCCUUACCCGUAUUCAACACUAGAAUAGGGUACGAGGCAUUACCAGAACACAAACGCUUGUAAACGUAUUUAACCGUAUUAUAAAAUUUCAUCUAAAUUAAAACUUUCAAAUUUUUUUAACAUGCUUUUAUAAUUCUUCACAAUAUAUCCUCAAAAUAUUAUAUUCAUAAUAAAUAGGGCUUACGAGACCCGAUACAUACCUAUGCAAUUCAAUGCGUCAUUUCCAUUUCAUUCAGUUCACAAUUUCUCAUGCUCACAAUUCAAAUCAUAUCACUAGCAAUUUCUAUUUAAUUCACGUACAAUUCAAUAUUAGUAAGUUCAAUACUAAUACGUAUUUACCAUUUUACUUAACGUUUUUCGAUUAUACCAUUCAUUAACACAUUUAUGAAAUUCUCAAUUUUGCAAUGAAAAUAUCACUUUAUCUUAAAUAACAACAUCAAUUCAACUCAUCAUCCCCUUUUUCGUCAUUUUUCACUUCAAAUAUGAACUUACUAUUUCAUUACCUUUCCACACCCAUUUCCUAUGCAUAUCACAUAAGACAUAAACAUAUCGUUCAACCAUAGUCGCAAGCUAGUACAUUUAAGCAUAAUUCUUUUUGGAACUAACCACAUGAUAAACCAUUUCACUAGAGAUUACAUAAUUUAAACCUUACCACCCCUGUCAUGAUCACAAGCAUAUUCCCAUUUAGGCACUUACCAUUUCAAUGCAUAACUUAUAAGCUUAACGUGGCAUAAUCCAACCACAACUUGGUCAAAGCCUAAGCAUGUACAUCAAAUAUGUUAACCAAAUAAACAUAUAGCAUAAGCAUUAUGAGCAUGGAUGAGCACAACAUUUAUUAAUGUAUCAAACUUACCAACAUGUGUUAAUUCAUAAACCAUUCAUGACACUACUUCAAGCUAAAUCAUAUUCCAAAUAUACCAUACACACAUACUAUGAAACUUUAUUUUCCCACAUGAGCUUAAAUCAUGACCAAUAAUGCGCAAAUAUAAGCAUUAUUUCUAUUUCAUCGUUUAUCAAUUAUAAUCGAGCAUAUUACCAAUUAUACACAAAUCAUUCAUAUAUUUCCCAAUUUUCCUCCUCCUCCUUUCCAUUCCACAUCCUUAAUGUGUAUAACACACUUAAACAACAUUAUCCAUACUUUCACUAUUUUUUUGUAUGUAAAUUCAAACUAUCUGUCUGAGUCUGAGUCACUAAUUUAUUUAUAUCUCGAGCUACCGAUCUCCAAAUUAAGAUCCGUUAAUUUUUCCUGAAACUACACUCAUAUACUUCUUACCAUAAAAUUUUUAUAAUUUUUUUUCUUAGCCAAUAAAUAUAUUUUAUUCUUUAAAAUUUCCCUUGUUUCACUGCUCGAUAGUUUUGACAUUUCUUCACUAAAAAUUAAUUAUUUCAUAGUACAGAAUUCAGAUAAUAUUCUCGUUUGUUUCUUUUGAAAAUAGACUCAUUCAUAAUUCUAAAAAUAUAAAUUUUAUCCCAUAAUUAUUUUUUUAAAAUUUUUAAUUAUUUUCCAAAGUCAGAAUAGGGGAUUCCAAAAUCAUUCUAGCUCUAUCUCACUAAAAUUCAAAUAUCUCAUAAUACAAAACUCGUUUGCUUUCUAUAUAUAUUUUAUGUGAAAAUAGACUUCUUCAGAUUUAAUUUCAUAUCUUAUUCACUCUCUAAUUAGAUUUCCACCAUUUUUGGUGAUUUUUCAAAGUCACACAACUGAUGCUGUCCAAAACUGUUUUGUUGCUAAAUUUACUCUUUCAUAAUUUCACUUACUCCAUUGCAUCUUACCGAUGGUUUGAUCAAAUAUCGAGCACAUUUUUCAUAAAUUUUCACACUUAUACCUACAAUCAUUCAUCACAUAGUCAUAUUUAAUUACAAUUAGUCGUUACUUGAUCUCAUGUAUUUUCACUUAGUCAAUUUCCCGAUAAACACUUUGGAAUAAUAACAGAUACAUGGUGGAUCAGCACAUAGCACCACCCUUAUAGUCAAUGAUACUCGGUGGAUUCAGCACAUAGCAACCACCUUCAUAAUCAAUAGUACCAGGUGGAAUCAACACACAACAACCACAUUUAUAAUCAAUGGUACCCGGUACACGUAGUAGCCUGCAUAUAGUACUACACACGUGACCAUUACUAUCUCUUUCACAUAGUGUUCGGCACACAGCCCGUGCCACACAUGUGAUCAUUAUUUUCACUUCAUUCGUAUAUUUUCUAUUCCGGAGGUUCAACUGGGAAAUUUCUCACUUUUAAUAACACAUUUAACUUACUUAACACUCACAUUAUUCAAUUUAGUCCAAAAAUCACAUUUUUGCCAAAAAUACAUUUUUCCCCUAAAGUUUCACAAAAUUACAAUUUUGCCCCUAGGCUCGUAAAAUAAUUUUUAUUCAAUUUCCUUGCAUUUUAGUCCUAGACAAACCAUUUUAAUAACUAUAUCAGUCUACAAUUCUCACUUAUUCGCACACUUGUGACAUAUUUUAUAACUUUUACAAAUUAACUCUUUUAGGCAUUUUCAUCGGAAAUCACUUAGUAAAAGACAUUCAUCACACUCCAAACAUUCAUAUUCUUCCAUAAAACAUCAAAAUACAUGCAUAUCAUUCAUAGAUAAAUUUUUAAACACAAACCCUAGUUCAAAAUAAUGGUAAAACUAGGUAAAUCUUGUUACGAGGAUUUCAAAAACGUAAAAAUCAUUAAAAAAAGGGCUAGAACAGACUUAUAAUCGAAAUGAGAUAACCAUGAGUUGAGAGAUGUGAAAACGUAGAAUAAAAUGAAAGUUUAUAUGGUGAUAAGCCCAUCCGUGUUUGCUUGGCGUGCAUUUGAUGUUAUGUGCUCAACAUAUUUGAUUAAGUAAAUAUGGUAAGCAAAUAUACACAAAUAGAUGGAAUGUGUGUUUAUGUGCACUUGCUUGAAUAAGUGUAAUCAGUAUAUUUAUAUGAUAGAAUCUUAUGUCUAAUUUUUAAAUUAGAAAUAAUAUGGUGUUUUGUUUUAUGUCUUUAUUGUUGAACCAUGAAUAUUAUAAUAGUAUGAAAAUUGAAUUGGAAGAUCAAAUUGAGUAGAACGCGGGAAUGAGUACUUUUGUUUAGUGAUAUGUGAUGAAUUGACAGAAAAUAUCAUGGUUUGACCAUUGCAACAUGUAAAAAUGUGAUUAUGUGUUUCCGUGUAAGACCAUAGCUGGGCUAUGGCUUCGGUGUGUGAUAUGUGGCGAUGUGUAAGACCAUAGUUAUACUAUGGCAAUGUGAAAACAAAAUACUCAAUUUUGUAAGACGUUCUCUAAUUUGACAAAUAUCGGUAAGUAAAAUGGAAGCCAAGUAUUGGAAUUUAAUUAGAUAUUAAUAUUGAGCUCGAGCAAGUAAAUCCAUUGUGUGAAAUUGUGGGUGAAAGAAAAUAAUGGUAAAAAUAGGUAAAUCUUGUUACGAAGAUUUCAAAAACGUAAAAAAUUAUUAAAAACGAGGCUAGAACGGACUUACAAUCGAACUUGGAAGCUUGAAAAACUCUAGCCAUGGUUUCUCCAUGCAAUUUUCGGCCUAGGGGUUGAAGAUGGACAAAAAUUGGCUUUUAAUUUUGUUUUUAAUUCAUUUUAAUAACUAAAUGACCAAAAUGCCCUUAAUGAAAAACUUUGGAAACAUGCCUAACCAUGUCCAUUUUUGUCCACCAACUUAACCAAUGGUCUAAUUACCAUAUAAGGACCUCCAAUUUAAAAUUUCAUAACUAUUGGACCAUGAAUAUUAUAAUAGUAUGAAAAUUGAAUUGGAAGAUCAAAUUGAGUAGAACGCAGUAAUGAGUAUUUUCGUUUAGUGAUAUGUGAUGAAUUGACGGAAAAGACCAUGGUUUGACCAUGGCAACAUGUAAAAAUGUGAUUAUGUGUUUUCGUGUAAGACCAUAGCUGGGCUAUGGCUUCGAUGUGUGAUAUGUGGCGAUGUGCAAGACCAUAGUUAUACUAUGGCAAUGUAAAAACAAAGUACUCAAUUUUGUAAGACGUUCUCUAAUUUGACAAAUAUUGGUAAGUAAAAUGGAAGCCUAGUAUUGGAAUUUAAUUAGAUAUUAAUAUUGAGCUCGAGUAAGUAAAUCCAUUGUGUGAAAUUGUAGGUGACAGAAAACAUUCGUAAGAAAUAGAUGUGUUAAUUUGCUUGGAAUGAACUAUGUGGUUAUGAUGGUAUUACAUUGAUAAUCAAUGCUAAGUCAUAUAUAUAUAUGUAUUUAUGUGAGUAAGUCAGAUGCUUUACGACCUCACCAUCACCCUCCUUAUCAGUAUUGCUUUAUGAUGAAAUUUUUAUGAGAAUCAUGUUGAAUAAGCUCAUAAAUGUGAACUGAAGAGUUCAGUGGUCAAAUAAUUAGUAAAGUAAACAGAGUUAAGUAUAGUGUAACAAAUGAACUUGGUAAAAAUAGGUAAAUCUUGUUAUAAGGAUUUCAAAAAUGUAAAAAUCAUUAAAAAAUAAGCUAGAACGGACUUACAAUCGAACUUGGAAUCUUGAAAAACCCUAGCCAUGGUUUCUCCAUGCAAUUUUCGGCCUAGGGGUUGAAGAUGGACAAAAAUUGGCUUUUAAUUUUGUUUUUAAUUCAUUUUAAUAACUAAAUGACCAAAAUGCCCUUAAUGACAAACUUUGAAAACAUGCCUAACUAUAUCCAUUUUUGCCCACCAACUUAACCUAUGGUCUAAUUACCAUAUAAGGACCUCCAAUUUAAAAUUUCAUAACAAUUGGACACCUCUAACAUGUAGAUCUUAACUUUUAUACUUUUUACAAUUUAAUCAUUUUGACUAAAUUGAGUGCCCAAACGUUAAAAUUUUCAAACGAAAUUUUCACGAAAUCAUUUUGUGAAAUAGUAGACCAUAAAAAUAUAAUAAAAAUAAAUUUUAUUCUCGUCAGAUUUGUGGUCCCGAAACCACUGUUAUGACUAGGCCUAAAAUCGGGCUGUUACAACUCUCUCCCCUUUAGGGAUUUUCGUCCUCGAAAAUCUUACCAGAAGAAAUUACUUCCAACUCUCAUAAAACACUUCACUAACUUUCCAAAAUCACUAAUCAAUUUAAUCUUGUAUGUCUCUUUUCAAUAAAUAUAUCUCUAAGGAUAAAAGAAUAUAUAUAUAUAGAAUAUCCAAAAAAGAUCAUCGUGUUCAUUUCGAUUAUAAUUGUCACACACAGGCAUCUUUACCACUUAAUUAUCAUUUCUCUAACUAAUUCUAUUAUCACGAAUCUCACAUUAUUCCAUUCACUAAUAAAAAUCAAUUCAGAAGAAUUUUCAGUUAAUACAUGCAUUCUUUAGGUAUCAUACCUGAAUAUUUUGUCUCAUCAAAUUUAACUUCUUCUUUAACAGUGGCAUUACAUAAUAUGUAUAAUCUUUAAAAUAAUCUGAUAUUUCUUUUAAAACUGAGUUCAUUUGUUACACUAUACUCAACUCUGUUUACAUUACUAAUUAUUUGACCACUGAACUCUUCAGUUCACAUUUAUGAGUUAUUCAACAUGAUUCUCGUAAAAAUUUCAUCAUAAAGCAAUACUGAUAAAGGGUGAUGGUGAGGUCGUAAAGCCUCUGACUUACUCACAUAAAUACAUAUAUAUAUAUGACUUAGCAUUCAUUAUCAAUGUAAUACCAUCAUAACCACACAGUUCAUUCCAAACAAAUUAACACAUCUAUUUAUUACGAAUGUUUUAUGUCACCCACAAUUUCACACAAUGGAUUUACUUAUUCGAGCUCAAUAUUAAUAUCUAAUUAAAUUCCAAUACUUGGCUUCCAUUUUACUUACCGAUAUUUGUCAAAUUAGAAAACAUCUUACACAAUUGAGUACUUCGUUUUCAUAUUGCCAUAGUAUAACUAUGGUCUUGCACAUCGCCACAUAUCACACACCGAAGCCAUAGCCCAGCUAUGGUCUUACAUGAAAACACAUAAUCACAUUUUUACAUGUUGCCAUGAUCAAACCAUGGUCUUUUUCGUCAAUUUAUCACAUAUCACUGAACAAAAGUACUCAUUCCUGCGUUCUACUCAAUUUGAUCUUCCAAUUCAAUUUUCAUACUAUUAUAAUAUUCAUGGUUCAAUAAUAAAGAUAUAAAACAAAACACCAUAUUAUUUCUAAUUUAACAAUUAGACAUAAGAUUCUAUCAUAUAAAUAUACUGAUUACACUUAUUCAAGCAAGUGUACAUAAACACACAUUCCAUCUAUUUGUGUAUAUUUGCUUACCAUAUUUACUUAAUCAAAUAUGUUGAGCACAUAACAUCAAAUGCAUGCCAAGCAAACAGGGAUGGGCUUAUCACCAUAUAAACUUUCAUUUUAUUCUACGUUUUCACAUCUCUCAACUCACAGUUAUCUCAUUUCGUACAUUAAAACAUACUUAUCAUGAACUUCUAUUCAUACCUUUCUAAAUUUCAUUUAUUCAAUAACACAUUUCAAUCGCCUCAAUAUAAAUUUUCAGCAUUAUUGGAAACAAUUCGGUUAGAAGUCAUCUCUGUCUUAACAAAUCAAUUUCAUUAGAGCCGAAAAAUAUUACACUAUCACGAGUAAUAAUAUGACAUGUAUAGCUAAACUCACAUACGCUAUGUUAGUCCGAGAACCGACUAAACCAUAGCUCUGAUACCACUAAAUAUAACACCCCUUACCCGUAUUCGACACCCGAAGAGGGUACGAGGCAUUACUAGAACACAAACGCUUGUAAACGUAUUUAACCGUGUUAUAAAAUUUCAUCUAAAUUAAAACUUUCAAAUUUUUUUAACAUGCUUUUAUAAUUCUUCACAAUAUAUCCUCAAAAUAUUAUAUUCAUAAUAAAUAGGGCCUACGAGACCCGAGACAUACCUAUGCAAUUCAAUGCUUCAUUUACAUUUCAUUCAGUUCACAAUUUCUCAUGCUCACAAUUCAAAUCAUAUCACUAGCAAUUUCCAUUUAAUUCACGUACAAUUCAAUAUUAGUAAGUUCAAUACUAAUACGUAUUUACUAUUUAACUCAACUUUUUUUUGUCAUGGUCAAACCAUUACUAUCUCUUUCACAUAGUGAUCAUUAUUGUCACUUCACUCGUAUCUUUUCUAUUCCGGAGGUUUAACCGGGAAAUUUCUCACUUUUUUUUCACUGAUCAAAGUCGAUUUCUCGUCUUUCUUGAUUUAUAAUAACACAUUUAACUUACUUAACACUCACAUUAUUCAAUUUAGUCCAAACAUCACAUUUUGGCAAAAAUGUAGUUUCACAAAAUUACAAUUUUGGCGUGCAUUUGAUGUUAUGUGCUCAACAUAUUUAAUUAAGUAAAUAUGGUAAGCAAAUAUACACAAAUAGAUGGAAUGUGUGUUUAUGUACACUUGCUUGAACAAGUGUAAUCAGUAUAUUUAUAUGAUAGAAUCUUAUGUCUAAUUGUUAAAUUAGAAAUAAUAUGGUGUUUUAUUUUAUGUCUUUAUUAUUGAACCAUGAAUAUUAUAAUAGUAUGAAAUUUGAAUUGGAAGAUCAAAUUGAGUAGAACACAGGAAUGAGUACUUUCGUUUAGUGAUAUAUGAUGAAUUGACGGAAAAGACCAUGGUUUGACCAUGACAACAUGUAAAAAUGUGAUUAUGUGUUUCUGUGUAAGACCAUAGCUGGGCUAUGGCUUCGGUGUGUGAUAUGUGGCGAUGUGUAAGACCACAGUUAUACUAUGGCAAUGUGAAAACGAAGUACUCAAUUCUGUAAGACGUUCUCUAAUUUGACAAAUACCGGUAAGUAAAAUGGACGCCAAGUAUUGGAAUUUAAUUAGAUAUUAAUAUUGAGCUCAAGUAAGUAAAUCCAUUGUGUGAAAUUGUGGGUGACAGAAAAUAAUGGUAAAAAUAGGUAAAUCUUGUUACGAGGAUUUCAAAAACGUAAAAAAUUAUUAAAAACGAGGCUAGAACGGACUUACAAUCGAACUUGGAGGCUUGAAAACCCCUAGCCAUGGUUUCUUCAUGCAAUUUUUGGCCUAGGGGUUGAAGAUGGACAAAAAUUGGCUUUUAAUUUUGUUUUUAAUUCAUUUUAAUAACUAAAUGACCAAAAUGCCCUUAAUGAAAAACUUUGGAAACAUGCCUAACCAUGUCCAUUUUUGUCCACCAACUUAACAAAUGGUCUAAUUACCAUAUAAGGACCUCCAAUUUAAAACUUCAUAACAAUUGGACACCUCUAACAUGUAGAUCUCAAAUUUUUCACUUUUUACAAUUUAGUCCUUUUGACUAAAUUGAGUGCUCAAACAUCGAAAUUUUCGAACGAAAUUUUCACGAAAUCAUUUUGUGAAAUCUGAGAUCAUAAAAUUAUAAUAAAAAUAAAUUUUAUCCUCAUCGAAUUUGUGUUCCCGAAACCACUGUUCCGACUAGGCCCAAAAUCGGGCUGUUACAAAUUUAAUCACCUUUUAUGAUAAAAGUUGUCUAUUCAUUAUUAAAUAAAAUUUUUUUCACAUCUCACUUAUUUCACACAAUUAAUUACACUAUCUCAUUUUCCACAUUAAAUUUCUAUGUAUUUCACUUGUAUUAUUUCCACCACAUGUAUUUCUCAAGUCCUUUAAUUUAAUCCUUGUUUCCAUAAAAUUUCACAUUUUCCCAUAAUUUUACUUAUCUAAUACUUUGUAUAUAUAUAUUUGCUAUUACAUAACCCAACUAUUAUUCUUUUAUUAUAAUUUUCUACUUCACAUAAUAAAUUAUUUCACACUAUUUUUUUACUUAAUUACUACUUAGCUUACAAAGAUCACAUUUUAAUCCUUAAAUAACAAGGAAGUUCAUGGGUACUUACCUCUUUUCCAUCAAAAUCUCUUGUUUUGCUCUUCUCUUACCACUUGAUUCACUUACUCAACUUCUCUCUUCAUCAACAUGUCAAAAACACAAUAUUUUCUCAAGAGAAAUCUUUACUUUAACACCAUUUUUAUGCUUUUCUAUCACUACUAAACUUAAAAAUAACAUAAAACCUUAACAUCCAUACCUUAUUCUCUUGAAACCAAACUUUAACUUGACUUCCUCUCUCCUCCAACUUCUAUUUUUUGAAUCUAACUUUAUAUUCUAGCUCCCCAUAAUCUCCUUAUUAUUUUUCUCUCUUGGUGGCUAUGGAAAUUCUUUUGAUUUCUAAGUGAAAAUGGUAAAUUUUUUGUGAAAGGACCAAAUUGUAAAGAAAAUAUUUUUUCUUUCUUUUCUGCUUCUCAUGUUGGAAGCAUGAAAAGAUGAAGAGAAUUCUCUAUCUUUCUUUCCUUAUAUAAUAAGUAAAAAUUAAUAAAAUAUAAAUAAAUGUCAAAUCAAAAUAUUAAUAAACUAAUAUUUAUUUAAUUAAUCUAAAAUAUCACCAACAUCAUCAUUACUCUUCAAAAUAUCUUUCUUGUUAAAUGAUCAUUUUGCCCCUUAUGAUCCUUCAAAAUUCCUCCAUUGAAUCAUCACUCAUUUUAGUAAAAUUACGAUUUAACCCCCUCAUACUUUUUCCACUUAUUCAAUUCGGUUCUAAUUCAUCCAGAUUCCUUAGUUUCUAGAUCCUUCCACCCUUAAAAUAUUUUCACUAUUGGUCCUUCAACUUUUCCAUAUUUACACUUCAACCUCUCAAACUUUGAGUAUUUACUCUUGGGCCACAAAAAUUUUCUCACUUUUUCAAUUUAGUCAUUUCUUAAAUUAAUACAUCAUAAUAUAUUUCUUAAACAGAUUUUGUUGACAUAACUCAAAAUUUCUCUUUUUUCCACUUUAUUUCAUUAUUUUACUGUACCAAAGACAAUAUCUCACUUUCUUACUGUAGUAACUUUCGGGGUGUUACAAUUAUUGUUGUUUAAAUUUCAAAAAUUUUGAUUAUCAUUAUUAACAUUUUCAAGUUGGAGUUUUUUUGUUGUCAUUACACAUUAAUGCCUUAUUUGGUUACUAGUGUAAUAAUAUGAGAAAAAAACUUAGUUAUUAGAUAUGUAUUUCUAAGGUAGAACUUGCUCGGAAGGGAAUAGAACAUGAUUCAGUCUGUGGGGUUUGUGGUCAAGAUUCUGAAGAUGUACUUUAUGCUACUAGAGAUUGUUCUGUUGCGAGAAAUGUUUGGGACCACUUAAUUCCAACCGAAUGGUGUUUUAGGUUUUAUGCAAGAAAUCUUCAAGAAUGGCUUGUUCUAAAUUUGCAAAAUCAACAUAAUUGGCAUUUGGGAGGUGCUGACUGGCAAUGUCUAUUUGGGAUCAUCGCUUGGCGCUUGUGGAAGAACCGCAAUAUUUUCAUUUUUCAAGGUACUUCAUGGACCAAUAGUGAAAUUAUCAAAGUGGCAAAUAGUUGGGCUAAACAAUACUUUUCUUCUAAAGGGAGUAAGGCAAAUGACUCACAAGGUAAGUUUCCACUUCUAUUUUUAAAUAAUGACUAUGUCCUUUUGAGUACAGAUGGAUCCGUUUUGGAGAAAGCCGGAUUUGCAGCGGUAGGAGGUAUAGUACAUGAUCGAGGUGGAGCUUGGAUUCUUGGAUUCAAUAAAUAUUUGUGGAAUUGUUCUAUAUUUGAAGUUGAGCUGUGGGGUAUUCUAGAAGGUUUAUCUCUGCUCGUGGAGUUGGGAUAUGAUAGCGUAUUGAUCCAUUUUGAUUGCUUGGAAGCCAUUACAACUAUUCUAGAGGGAUCUUCUGAAGGGUCCAAUUCUGUUUUGGUUCGAAGAAUUUAUCAAAUACUGUUGUGGUUUAAAUAUUGGAACAUUAGAUAAAUUUCUACGGGGGAAAAUCAGGAAGCUAACCAUUUGAGCAAAAUGGCCUAACAUAGAGAUUAUGGGUUAUGUCUGUUUUUGACCUCUCCUUUAGAAUGGUUGGUCUAGUUAUUGUAAUAUGUUUUUAUUUUUACUUUUUUACCAAAAGAGAGAGAGUAAAGAAUAGUUAGUACAAAUUUAAAUUUGAAACUAGAAAUAUGAGUAAAAACUAUUGUUAAAAAUAAAAAAUCUUCAAAAUAAGCAAAAAAAAUUCCCUUUUUUUUUUUGCUAAAAAUAAGUCAUAGGAAUGACUAAGAAAUGUUUGAAGCUUUCUUUGUUUCUUAAGUUAUGAAGGAUGUCAAGAAGAAGAAAUGUUUUCAUAUUUUAUAUUAUGAUUAUAACUUACGUAAUUAUAUUUUUAUCUUAAUUAAUCAAAAUAUAACAUUACGUCUACUAUUUCUUAUUUUUGCAUGGUCUAUUUGCUAUUUUGAACCUUUAAUUAAUUGCAAUUUAAGUCUCCAAGUCAUUUCCUAAUAAAAAUCUAUAGCGAUUGAACUUUAUAAUUUAAUCCCUUAACCUCAAUUAAACACAAUUUUGACUAAAUUAACUAUUCAAAUUUCUUUUCAUCUAUAUAUUAACUUUAUAAAUAUCUUUAUUCAAUAUUUACAAAUUCGAUUUAUGAAAACAAUACAAAGAACUAUAUUUUUUGGCCAAGAGAUGAUUUUCUUUUCUUUUCUUAAACGAAGAGAAUAGUUUUCCUCGGUAAAGAAAGGCUGACAUUGUGAUAUUGAAUCAUGGGAAAAAGGAGAAACCCAAGUUUAUUGAUUCCAUCAUUAAUCCUAUUAUCAUUCUCAAAUUGUCAAAUUUAAAGCUACAACCACCCUACCAGCCUACUACACAUGCGGUCUUCACCAUUCGUUUGGGGGAAUUCUUUAUUAAGCUGCAUGAAACAAGCCAUGAAAUAUUUAUCUAUCUGUCUAUAUAUAAAAUACAUACUAAAAAGAGUGGAACAGCUGGAUCCAAAUCCAAUAGGGGCUCUCUUUUCAAGGCCGUAGAAGCCAUCAAUUUUAUAAGCAAUAGCAGGCAAGGGAAAAGAAGGGUAAUGGGUGGGAGGUCAAUGCUUGCUUGGAGUUAGAUAUGGAAAUUGGAGCUCUGCAAACCGGUCUAAUAUAAGCUACAAUCCAAAAUUUAAAUGAUUUGGCAUUGAACUCUUUUACAAACAUUUGCAAUCAAAGUGAGAAUGCUGGAAAUCGCUAACUUCUUUAGUUGUUUUCACUCAAAUAUGAACAUAAAUGGUGGUGAAUAGGGUAGCCAAAAGUGGGUUACUAAAAGUAAUUGUAACUUUCCUUCAAGAGCACUAAGAAUCAUUUAUUGCAAUUAUUGCCUCUAAGGUCAUACUUAUCCAUUGUCUAGGCUCUAGACCCUAUCGCUAAACUUGCAUAAUAUUUCAAAUGAAUGGUAAUGAAUUUCUAAUUAAAUGACAAAGGUUGAAGACUAUUUGAUGCUCUUUUUCCGAUGUGAAAUACUCCUUUGACCCCAAUAAUGUUUGCUUCCUUAAAAACAUGUAUGACAGCAAUUACAUAGUACUAUAUGUGUAUACAUCUCCAAUUAGCUUAUACUCGAAAAGAAAAUAAUUCAAAACUUACUAGGCAAUUCCACUUUAGUCGGACCAACUCACGAGAAGCUUUGGGUGUAAUGUAAUGUAAUGUAAGGACCACCAACUUGUAUGAAAUGAUGGCAGCUUUAGAUUGCUUGUUUGUUGGCCAUGCAUGCCCCAUGCUCCAUCCAAUUAGAGCAACCCCCCUCCCCCUUCUGAAUCCAAACCUGUGUACUGUUUUAUCCCCUUGUUUUUCACACGCAUGCCUAUUUUUUAAUCAAUAUAAUAAACCUAGUUUCUUCUCCCACCCCCAUCUUCAAUUCUUCCACUUCAUCAUGAUUAGUUUACUAGGCUUUUGAUUCUUCCAGGCUGUCCUCUAAUUAGUAGUUAUAGAGUUAGCUUGAUUACUAUGAACCUUUGAAAUUUGAAUCCAAAUGUGGGUAAUCAACAUAUCAUUUAAUUCCUCAUUAAUGAAUCUUUGCAAUUGGACGUUGGUAGCUUGAGACUUUACUAAAGCUAAGCUAGCUUCAGGUCAAACCAGACCAACCUUUGAGGUUCAACUUUUACAAUAAAUCAUCUCUCGCUUCAUAUUUUCAAGCUUCCCAACCAACUUUUUGUUAUAAUUAAUGGUAUCCCAUUUCUUUUUAUUUUUUUAAAUAAAAUUUUACUUUGAAUUUGAUGUAGUUUAAUCAGACUUGGAUGGUGGGAAGGUCUGAGAUUCAUUAAAUCAAAAGGUACCACAAAAGCAAUUACAAGCUUUAAAAUGGUUACAACUUACAACUGGGCGCAUACAUAUACUACCACUAUUCUCCAUUCCAACCAUUCCUUAGGUUUACAGCUCGUUGAGUUAGAAUGAUAAGCCGAAAAUAUUCAAAAGAAAAAAGAAAUUAUUUAAAAGUGUUCAGGAACUCAAAUCAAAUGAAUAAUUUAAAUUAAUAUGUAUCAUUAGUUUAUCUUUAUUGUUUCUUAUCUCUAAGGGUAAUUUUGAAUAUUGAAUAUUGCUUAUAAAAAAAAUUAAUUGAAGAAAAAAGAACUAAUAUAAAAUACAGAGUGUAUCAAAUAAAUUCAAGGUAACACCACAUUUCAUUCCCUUUGAACUUUGAAGAUACUUGAUUUCACCAUCAAUCCAUUGAAUGCAUAUAUUGUUUUCAAUCAUAAACAUACCUCUUUGCUCUCCUUAAUUACAAUUCCUUUUCUUUGUUGGAACCAACCUUAGAGUUUUCACAAGCUAUUUACACGUAUGACGAGUGAAACAUAAAUAGUGAGGCUUGGGCACUUGUGUUGUGGGAGUUGUGACAUCUUUCCAAUCCAAAACCAACCAAUGCGACCCCAGCUAGCAGUGAUGAUGAGAUCCUACAGUUAAAAAAAUUUGGAGAAUGAUGUGUCAUUUUCAGCACCAUCCUCAUGAAUCUGAAAAAUCAAACUUUUGGGACCAUAUCUUUCAUUUUCAUUUAACAAAACAUGACAAAAGAAUUUGCCCAAUGCCACAAACUCCGAAACAACACUCGCCAAAUCAUACGUCAUGUUUGAGUAGGGAGAAUCUCAGAUGUACCCAGAAAAACAAGCACCAUAUUAAUACACUCGUAAUAAAUUUAUAAAUGAAACUGGCUGAAAAUUGGGUGUUAGCAUAGGGGUUAUAUAAUGAUGGGUGGUAGAGUUAUAAAUAUGCAAGCCCACAGCUGUAAAGAGUGGUCGUCCCUAAAACACUCAAUUCCAUCAUCGUCAGAGGACGGUACGAUACAAGGGUGGACUUAAUGGUGAACCGCGUGGAGUUUGUUUUGGUUUAGUGAAAGCACACAGCAUUUGGCUUAAUUAACCAUUUGUCGUCAAUCUUCACCAUGCUUUCUUCCUGUUUCCGCGUAUCAAUGCCCUUUCCCACCUUAAUAUUCAAAACUAAUGGGGCGGUCCCUAUUAGACCUGUGGAUUUGAAUAGGAGUAAUUCUCAGAUAAAUUUUGGACAUUAUUUUGAAAUUAAAUCAUUCCAACUUUCUGUUUAUUCAAUUAUUUAGAUUGAAUUAUAUUGUUAAAUUUAUCAAUAUAAUUAUAUUUAUUAUGCAUGUAAACUUUUAAAUCGAUCCAAUACUUUUAUAAUAUCAAUCUAAAUAUUGAAUUUUUUAUUUUAAAUUUACAUUAAAUGAAUAAAUAUAUAACUAUUUUUGUUUUUCCACCUCAAUGAAAUACAUUUUUAAGAUGAAUGAGAUUCAUUUAACUUUUUUAUUCUAUUUUUAAUCAAAUUGCAUUACAUUUUGUCUUUCUUUAAGAAUUAACGUACGCAACAAUUCUAGGUUGCUAACGAACAUUUAUAAUUAAAUAAAAGCAAAAGAUGUAUAGUAUGAUUGAAUCUUGUGUAAAAUUCGUUUUUGACCCAAAUAGGGGUAAAAUUGUAACACGACCCUCACUUGGGCAAACGGGCAACGUAAUGAAACACUAGAGCUCUCGUCUUUUUAAGCUAAUCACAUCCACAAUGAGGAUCCAUUCUACCAAUGAUUUCACUAACAAGUCCCUCCCAUUUUUACAUAUUUACAUUUAUACCACCCUCAUCUCUAUUCAGGGAUAGAACUCAACACAGCCUUGAACUUCCCUCUCCCUACUCUCCCUCUCUUCUCCCCGCCGUUCCCACCACCAGCACCGGCGGCGGGUGAAACCUUCCGGCGAGGAGACCCUUCAGAAAACGCGAAAGGGGUAACCGCCUUACUCCCGCGCCUGCAUUUUUCAGAGGCGGUGGUUUUCAUCAAAGCGGAGCUGGCUUUGACGGCCAAUGCAGCCAUUUCCUCAGCUUGUAAAGGAUGGUUGAGCCAACUCAAGGGCAAAGCGAAGUAAAGUUGACCGGGUUGAAGCUCCUCGUCUUCCUCGAUGGCGGAUACGAAGUCAUCGAAGUCCAUCUCAUCGGCGUUGCAGAUGAAACACAUGGGAUUCUUCUGCAAAACGUAAGAAGCCUUGACGGGGUAAGGAAACUCUUGUAACCGCCCAUCAUGGAGAAUCAGCUUGGCAGUUGCUACGUGAGUCGAAUCGCAAGAACUACAAAUACCCAUUUUCUAUUUUCAGAUUUGUGGAUUUCAACGUCGAAGCUGUCGAUUUUUUUUGGAAUAGAAAGCUUUUUUGAAAAUGUUGGUGUUGGAGAGCUGGGGGAAGUUUAUAAUAUAUAUAUAGAGGAAGGAUGAAAGGAGAGAUGUCUCGGAUUUUGGACCAGGUAGCCACGUAGGAUUUUGUCGUGACGUAGUAAUAAACAUAUUUAUGGGAACAGGAACAGUAGGCAGGGUUGCCAGGCUGUAAGUUAGUGGUGACAGGUUGUAUAAGGAGUGAGGAUGUGGGUCUGAACACAUCAACCCUGGUUUCGAGAUGAUAUUACGUUGACAGGGACUGCUGAGCUUUUUACAGUUCCAUGGGAUGAUUUCACUGCUAAGUGCAAACAUAAUGCAUUUAAUAAAAACGGUAACCAUACCAAUCAAGGAGUUUAACAUGUCUUUGCUUUAUGUUAUCAUAUUUCACUGUUUACCAUUGGUUUUAAAUAAUGCUUUUUAAGUUAGCAAGGUUACUGUAUAGGUUUUCAAGUUUUGAAAUUGAGAAAAAGUGUUUCUCAAGUUCAGUUUCUUUUACCUUUCGCUUUUUCUUUUGAAUUAAAUUAUUCAUUUAUCAUCUUCUUUUUCUUUUUUGAAAUUUAUUUAAAAUACUAUAUUUAUAUGCAGGUUAAAUUUUAUAAAAAGAACGUGUAUAUUUAUUUUUAUAUUAUACUUCUAUUAAUUUUAUUUAUAGAAUCUAAAAAUUCUACUAAUAGUCUCAAAAAAAAUUUAACUGUAAUGUGGGUGAGUUGGCAACUCAAACAUUCAAGGAAAAUACUUAAAAGUAAUGGGUAUUAAUAUGUUGUUUACAUUUCUUUUAUUCACACAUUGAGUAUAUUAUACUUAAAACGCCAACUGAAUUAUGAAAUAAUAAUACUUUUUCACUAAAUUAUAUUAUUAAAACACCAUAACUAAUGACACCUAAGUUUUUAAUAAAUAUACUUUUACAUGAUUCUGUAUGCACAUUUACAAUUAUUAUAAAAAUAAUAUAAUAAGAAAGAGGAAGGGGUAUGUUAUAUGGGGAAAAAAAGGGGCGAGAUAAAAUAGGACAUUCAUUCUAUAAAAGGUCACUAAAAAUAAGAGGAAGGUAAAUAGAUGGAAAAGGAAGGGUAUAAUGGAGAAGUAGAGAGAAACGUGGCAAUUGAAAAUCAACCCAAGGAAGCUAGGGGUGCAACUGUGCAGGGCAAAGCAAAAGACACGUGGAACAGAAGGGCCUUGGGAAUAGUAAACUCGCAGCAUUCCGACAAGACAUGGCGUAAGCUCAUCUGGUUUUGCUGCUGCUCCCUCCCUGUUUCCUGCUGCCCCGCCCUUUUUCUAAUAGUUAUUAUUUCCCCAUAUAGCCCAUGUAUUAUUAUCUUAAAUUCUAAAUCUACAUAACGCAACAUGAAAGCAUGGACAAUGUCGGGACUUUCUUCUACUCGUAUAUUUUAUAUAUUAGGUCUUGUAGGGUUUGCAUGUGCAUGAGUGAUGGAGUGAGAAUACAAUUUUUGAGCCUCCCUUCCUUCCAUGUUUCGUGAGUUGAUUAAUGCCACUAGGUAAAAAUCUAUGGUUUUAUGACUUAAAUGUUAGUUCUAGCUAGUGGCGAUUGAAACAAACAACUUGGUCAUUCUUUGAACUGAAUUAGACAAGGGUAUACUAUUAAUUGGUUUUGCUUUUUUGUUCCCAUAGAAUACAAUGCAUGAUUUUAGUUGUUAUCAUUUAUCAAUCUAGUUCCGUACGUGCAUGGUUUUCAAUUGUUAAAAAGCAAGGAAUUAUUGGUAAUAAUCGAGGAAUGAGCAACGUUUCCCACUACGAUUAAUCCUUUGCAUGAAGCUUCAGAGGAUUGGGGUACCUAUUUCUCCCCCAUUCCAUCCACCCUAGCUAUAGCUACUUGAAAAAGAAAAACCCAAUUUUUUAAUCACAAAAAAAUGGCCUCACAUGAAUGCUGUUCAUUUCUUUAAUCUCCCUUUGUUUCUCUUAUUUCAUUGGAUGCCCUCCAUAUUCCCUCUUUUGACUUUCAUCACUUUUGAAACCCAAUCUUCACCCCCCUUUUUUUUUAUUGCGUUUUAAUUUUGUUGUUAGUUUCGGUAUUGUUAUGAAUUUUAUCAAUUUUAGUUAUAUAAUUUCAAUCCUCAAGUUUGAUUUUUUAAAUCAAAUUUUAUUAUUAAUCCUAUAUUAUAGGUAAGUUGUGAAUUUAGUCAUUAUUUUCUAUUUUAAUUCCUUCAAUUUAGUUAUUUUUAGUCCUUAUAUUAUAAGUAAGAUGACGAUGUAUUUUUGUAAAUAUUAUGUGAAAAUAACAAGCUAACAAUAUUAUAUUACACAUGCAAUAUAAUAUUAUUGAGUAAUAUUUUUCUCAUAUCCCAUUGAGAUGAAUGUUGGGGGUAUUUAUACAUCCUCUUACCGUUACUAUUAUAGUUCAUAAUUGGGUCCACUAUUUUGUCUUGACCUUGGGGCCUCCGGUACUAACAUUCUCUGCCUCUAGUGUUGACAUUCUCUGCACGCUCCUUGGCUUGCUGGACGCUUGUCUAUGUAAUACGCGGUCCUUUCUAAUCCUAGGAUUGACAUCCUUAGCAAGCUUCGUACCCGUUGGUCACAAGUCUAGAUUACUUGUAGGGCUUGCAAUCCUUCCUGCAAACAUAGUUCGUGACCCCAUCCUGCGAGGUGCGCCCUUGAACUCUUCUUGUGAGCUAUCUUGGCGAACACGCCUCUUCCGAGUCGAGCCCACCCGAGUCAAGGGUUGGAGACCCGGAUCUUUUUAGGACAUUUGGGUUGGCAAUUAUGGAUAUAUAAUAAAUAUGUUUGUCGAAUAAUAUUUUAGAAAUAAAAGAAUUUAAAUUAACAAAUUUAAUGGAUACCAUUUGAUUUAAAAUUGAAAUUUCAAAAAUAUAAAAAUUAAAAAUGACCAAAUUAUAAGAACUAAAUUUGAAAUACUAACAAUCAAUAUAUUCUUUGAAUGGAGAAAUCAUUUUUCUACCAAUUGAAUUGGUGAACAUUAUUUGAUUUAUUUAUGUUAAUCCAAUAAAAUUAGGGAAAUUAUUUGGUAAAUUAUUAAUGGAGCUUUUAGAUCUAAUAAAUAGAGAUUAAGGGUUUGAUAAAUAUUCUAUAAGAGUAUAUUAAAAUAUUAAAAAAUAAAUAUUUAAAAAAGAAGAAACACUUCUCAAAAUUUCAGAACUACUUAUAAAAUAAAAAAAAAAUACACCAUCAAUAUAUCAAAUAUUGGCUUAUAAAAUUAUAUUAAUUAUAAAUUACAAGGUAGACCUAGAAGAUAGAUAUCCCUAGAAAACAUAAAAUAAACCACUAUUAAUAAAACUCAUAAAAUAGGGUGAACUUAAAAUGCUUGUCAACAUAUAGGUUUGGAAUCUUGUAAAGCUAAAUUACAUAUAGAUUUGAGGUUACUUAGUUGGGCUAUCAUGGAUAAGUAGAAGAAUUUGAACAAUUUAUCUAGCAAACUUUUUUUAUUUUUUGAAGAACACUUGGUUAAAACCUAAACUAUAGUUGUUAUUUUGUAUUUUUAUGAGAUGACCAGUCAAAACCCAAAUAAUGCAAAACCAUAUAAAUUCAACAAAUAAGGAGAAUGGGCAUAAAAAUAUUGAACAAUCCACAAGGAUUUGAUCUGUAAAAUUAUGUUAAACAUGUUUCUGCUUAAUCCUGGAUUAUAUGGGCAAAAAUAGUUGGCAAAAGAAGAAAUUAAACCCCACCAACCGGCAUAAACACAUUACAAUAUUCAUAAUAAUGUGGUCUAAACACCCUCUUAAAAUAAAUCUGUCUAACUACAUGUAUUUUAUUUGUCUUAAUCACCUAGCUCUUGUAGGUUUUAGAAUGGGAUUUCAACUUUGAUUCAAUCAUGGUUCAUAAAUAAUAAAGGUAGCCAUUGGCACUGCCAUGAAAGUUCCUCCCUUUUGUCUACACUUGAAACUUGUUUAUUUAUGUGGCCCUUAAGGGGUCUGAUAUCUUGCAUGGUCAAAAUCUCAGAUCAUGCCCUAUCCAAAUAAAAUUAUUGGUUUUGAAUGGAUUCAUUGUAUACCGAAGGAUCAAUUUUUUUUUUAAAUGACAAUGAUGAAUGCGACAUAAGAACUUUUGUUUUGUGUUAUACAUUCAUGUUUUUGGUUCAUGUCCUGUCUAAUCCGUACUAGUACCCAAGAUUUUAUAUAUAAUUGGAUAACAUUACAUUACAAGUAUCUUAUUAUCUAUAUAUGCCAAUAUAUUUUUAUAAAAAAAUAAAAUAAAAUUACCAAUAUAUUCAUAUCUAAAACAAAAAUGAAAGUUGUUGUUAAUAUAGACAUUAAGGGUGUAUUUAGUAUUACUUCUAAGAAUCAUUGUUGGGAUAAAAAAACACUUUUGAGACCAAAACAUUUCUAAACAAGUUACUUUUUCAGAGAAAAAAUGUUUUUCCCAAGCAAGAAAUUGGCUCAUAAGCACUUUUUUGAUAACCUGAAAAUUUUAGCUUCUUCCUAAAAUUAAUUUUUUCCUCAAAAAAAUACUUUUGAGAAGUAUUAAUAAACUAAGUCUUAAGUAUGGGCAUGUAUGUCGCGCCAAAUAAGUGUAAUUAUUUGUAUAGGAUUCUUUUUCAUUAGCUAAAAACAUUGUCUAAUAUGAUUACAUAAAAAUAUUUGAAAUGGUAAUUUCCCAUACAAUACAAAAUUAGUAAAGGUAUCUAUAAUAAAGUUUUGAUUUGUAUGGAUAGGUGAUUAAAGUUUUUAUGAGACACUCGUUUGAUACAGAUUCAAAUCGUGUGACACUCGUUUGAUAUUUAAUAAAUUUUUGAAGGUAACAUAAAAAUUUUAAUAAACAUGGAAAAAAUAACAAUAUAAUACAAUUUUUGAAGGUAAUAACAUAGUAUAUUUAAACAUUAUAAGCAAUGAUGGUUAUUUUUUUAAAGUUACAACAACUAAUUAACGUAUCAACGGCUCCAAUCAAAAUAAAUCAUUACAAAUACUGAAAUGAAUAUUUGGCUCAAACUAACUACUCAAGUAAACUAAUUAACUAACCCACACAUAAUUCUUGCAUGGUAAGACUUAAAUCUAAGCGCUCAAAAUCCGAGUGCCACCAAUACUAAUUAAUUAAUACAAAUAUUGUAUCUCUAUCUAAAUUUUUGGUGUGUAUUAUCAAAAAAAAAUUGCAUACAUACAAAUUCUCAUGUCUAUAUGAAAAGUAUAUCCCAAUCGAAUUAAAUAGUUGAUAUUGAAAUGUAGAAAAAUAACUUAAUUGAAUGUGUGAUGAGUAGCGGAAUUGAAGGGUAAGUGUGUACAAAGUAGAAAUAUCCCAAAAUUUACGUGACAUUUUCUUUUCGAUGGAAUGUAAUGCUUUGGCCUAAUUUAUUAGAUUAGGAAGAAAAGAAAGUUGAAGAGGAAGAAAUUUAACCCCACCAACCGGCAAAAAUACAUCUCAAUUAAUUAAUUUGUCUAAAUUAAUCACCCUAAAAUAAAACAUCUUAUCCUAAUAAUUUUCAAAGAAAUUCAUGAAAGUGAAAGGCUUUAAAAAAUCAAUACUAGGAGCACUUAUACGUAGGGUUAGUUUUAUUAAAACUCCUCAGAUUAUAGUUCAUAUUCUAAAUUCAUCUUUAAAUUUCAAGUGUUUUAUUUGAGUUAUUAAUAUAUCAAAGUAUUGUAUCAAUUCUAUCCUUAUUAGCCUAAACCCACAAAUUUGCACCUAAAUUAUACCUUUUUUUCCAUCUUGAUACUUAAACAUUUUUUUUGUCAAAAAUAGUACCUAAAUUAUUAUUUUUUUCGCAAAUUAGUACCUCCGUUAGUCAAACUAUUAAGUUUAUAUUUAAAAAAAAAACAAUUUAACCCAUAAAUUAGUACCUAGACAAUACAAUUUUUCUCAAGUUGGUACCUAAACUUUUUUUUUAAUCUUAACUGAUAUAUUCGUUAAAAAAAUUCUAGUUAAUAAUAGACUGCCACGUCAUAUAAACUUUAAAAAAAUAAUUUUUAAUAAUUUUAUUUUAUUUUACAUUCUCUCUCUCUCUCAUACUCGAAAUUUGCCCUCCCAAAGUUGAGACAUUGGCAAUUAAUUUGUUUUUGAACUUCACCACUAUUUACUUGACUUGAUGUAUUUGAAAAAGUUCUUUCAUUGAUCAAACUAGUAUUUUCAAAAUUGAAUCGUACUAGUUGGACCAAGAACCUGAUGGGUAUCAAUCUGGAGCUAAGAUUGAAUCAAUUGACUUGCAAAUUGAUAUAAACCGAUUGAACCGAGCUAAAAACCGGUUGAAUUGAUUUUCUUUAUAUUUAAAUAUGAUUUAUUUUUAUAAUUUUUUAAUAAUUUAUUUUAUUGAAUCACACGAAUUGAUCAAAUUGAGAAUUGUUGGCUUUGACUGAUUCGACCAUCGAUCCUAUUCUAAAAACCUUGAUUAAAACCAUGAAGCCCAAAAUACUCACACUUGUAGAAGAAAUAUAAGAUGAGAGGAAGAAGAAAGAAAAAAUAUAAAAAAUAUAAAGUGAAAAGAAAUAUAUAUAUAUAAAGAAAAUAUUUUUUUUCCUUUUUUUACCACGUGAUAAUUUUUAAUUGGUUAUCUCUUUUUUUUAAAUUGACUUAACAAUUAAGCUAACGAAUAUACAACUUGAGAAAAAAAAAUUAGGUACCAUUUAUGAAAAAAAAAUAGGUAUUUAAAUGAGAAAAAAAACAAUUUAGAUACCAUUUGUAGGUCAAGAUUUUUUAAGAUAAACUUAACGGUUGGACUAAUGGAAGUAUCAACUGAGGAAAAAAAAUAUAAUUUAGAGAUCACUUAAACAAAAAAAAAUUAAAUAUCACUUAUAACAAAAAUAAAAAUAAGUAUCAAAAUAUAUAAAUAUAUAUAAUUUAAACACUUAAAUUAUUUUCCAUGAAUGUUAAGUUUUGGCCUAAUUUAUAUUAGAUUAGGAACAAAAUAAAGUUGAAGAAGAAAGUUUAACCCACCAACUGGCAAGUUUAACCCACCAACCGGCAUAAGCACACCUCAAUUAAUUAAUCUUAUUUAAAAAAUCAAUGUUAGUGGGUGAUUGGUUUUUAUCGCAUGAUAGAGAUUUGUUCUGUUUUUAAAGCUUAAUUGGAGGAAUUCUUGAUUGUAACACCCCUAACCCGUAUCCGUCGCCGAAUUAGGGUUACGAGGCAUUACCGAACAAACACAACUAUUUUUAAAACCAAACUGAUCACAAACAUGAAAAUUUAAUCAUUUUCGCAUAGCUGUUUAUAAUUUACAAUCAAAAUCUAACUAACAUCGUACUCAAACCUAUACAUGCCAUAAGAUCAAGUUCAAAUAUUUAACAAAAUACCAAAAGAAGUCGAUAGUGUGAUAGACUAUGCUGAUGAUCCCUGAGCUCGUAACGCGUCUCUAAAAUCUAUAAAAACAAAUGGACAAAAACAAUCAAAGUAAGCUUUUAUAGCUUAGUAAGUCUAUAGCAUAUCUAAAAAUACAUAUAAAAGAAUCACAUAAUUCUUUAAGUAAAUUUAUUGAAAUCACAAAUAUCAAAUAUAAUUACUAACUAAACAUUGCUAUAUUGAGUCAUUUUGUUUAAAUCUAAAAGAAUGUAUAUUUAACUAAUAUACAUAAACGGACAAAGGUAUAUACAUUAUAUGCAAAUAAUCAAGUUACUAACAUAAUCAUUAACUGCAUAUACUGAUUUCUAAAGUACUUAUUGUUCGCACUUCAUCGGAUCCAUUUAUAUAUAAUUAUUCAAUUACAUAUACCAAAAGCAUAACUUUUAUACUUAUCAACUAUAAGUGCCGAAUGCACAUAUUCACUUAUACCCACCUAUGCCGAAUGCAUACAUAUACACAUUUAAAUAUCCAACAAUUUCAUGACAACUGAUAUAUAUAUACAUACUCACUAAUCACAAAGAUUCGAACGAUUAUAUACUCAUCAAACAUCUUGAAACAAUGUUCAUAUAUUUAUCCAUUUCAUUUAAUUAAAAUCAUAUAUAUAUUUAUACCCAAUGCUUAGAAUCACUUAAUUUAAACAGAUUCACUGGCACUUCACCUUAUAGACUUAUAGUCUAAUUCCGUUCACCGGCACUUAGCCUGCUAGGCCUAUAGCCUGAUUCAGUUCACCGGCACUUAGCCUGCUGGACAUAUAAUCCGAUUCAAUUCACCGGCACUUAGCCUGCUGGACGUAUAGUCCGAUUCAAUUCACCGGCACUUAGCCUGCUAGACGUAUAGUCUGAACAAUUUCACUGGCAAUAAAUCCGAUUGAUACUGAGCUUUAAUAAAAAAAUCUCAAUUCACAGAAGUUGUAUCUCUUAUUUGUAUAUAAAAUCCACAUACAAUUUAGCUCAAUAUUCAUAACUUAUGUCUGUAAAAUACAUGGAUAGAUAUAAAUCCCAAUCAUCAAAUCUAGCUUAAAUAAUUCAAUGAUUCAACCGAAACACAUUUAUGUAUACAUAACCUCAUACUAUAGAUUCCACUUCUAAUACCAUAAAAUUUAACUUAUAAUAUACUAGGUACCUUAAACAUUUGAAUUCCCUAUAUACCUAUAUAGUUUCAUAUACCAUUUCAAUACAAGAUCUUAUACAUGUACAUAUAUGCAUAUUCGAAUCUAACAACCAUAUAUUACUCUAUACUUAUUUUCGAAACAAGAACAUAUACCUAAAUACUCAUACAUAUUCGAAUUUAACAUAUAUAUGUAUAUAUAUAAUUGAAUAUAAUUUCAUACUUAUACUCAAUAUAAUUAUUAUUCAUAAGUACACAUACUUAUUCACUUCAACUUAUACAAAUGUUCAAAUAUAUCUCAUACCUUUGAAAUUUCAUACCUAAAUUCAAUACAACAAAUUUUACAUAUAUAUACAUGUAUAUUCGAAUAUAAUUUAUACAUAUAUGUUCAUAACUAAAUUUAUUACAUGGACAUUCAUAUGCAUAUUUGUAUAUUCAUAGCCAUUCGACUCUAACAUAUAUAUGUAUACAUAAUUUCAUACUUUCAAAUUCCAAAUUUCUUUCUUUUAUACUUUUUAAAUUUAACUCAACACACAUACCAUUGAUAUACAUACUCAUAUGUUGAUUUAAUAAAAUUAAAUAGCUAAUAGACUUACCUCGGAUUUCAGCGGACACGAUCGACUAUUCGAUUACUUUCGUUUUUCCCCGAUCCAAAUUCGUUUUCUUCGUUUCUUGAUCUAAACAUAAUCAAAUUUAACCUUUUUAUUCAUCAAAACAUUCAAUUAAGUCCAAAAAUACAUAAAUGGAAAAAUUACCAUUUUACCCCUAACAUUUUACACUUUUUGCAAUUUAGUCCUUUUUGCACAAAACACAAAAUACACAAAAUUUGCCUACACUACGCUAGGGCCGAAUGUUCCUUGUCUUCAUACAAGUCCACACAUUUCAUUUAUUUCGCAUUUUAGCCUUUCAAAAAUAUUAUUUUGAAAUUUAACCCUAAUUACUCAAUUUCACCAAAAAUUCCAAUACAAAACAUAUUAAUCUAAAACAUAUCUUUCAUUAUUCACUAUCAAACAUCACAAAACACAAUUAUUCAUCAAUGGCAUAGACCAAAAUAUUCAUCAAAAUAAAAAAUUCAAGCAUGGGUCAGAUAGUAUUCGAAGUAGAGCUGCUCAUGGGCCGGGCCAGGCCGGGUUCGGCCCGGGUCCUAGGCCUGGGCCCGGCCCGACCCGAAAUAUGGGUCUAGAAUUUUGCCCAAGCCCGGCCCGGGAAAAAAUUCAUAAGCCCGGGCCCGGCCCGUUUUUUAAAUAAAUACCAAAAUUUUAUUUUAAAAAUUAAAAAAAUUUAUUUUAAAAAUAUUUUAAAAUUAAAAAAGUAUUUUAAAAAUAUUUUAAAAUUAAAAAAAUUUUAAAAAAGUAUUUUAAAAGUAUUUUAAAAUUAAAAAAUAAAAAAAUUUAUUAUAUUCAGGCCGGGCCGGGCCGGGCCCGGGCCAAAAAAGUGGUGCCCGAGGCUCGGCCCGUUUUUUAAUCGGGCCUCAUUUUUUGCCCAAGCCCAUAUUUCGGGUGGGCCGUCGGGCUGGGCCGGGCCGGGCCGCCCGGCCCAUGAGCACCUCUAAUUCGAAGCAACGAUAUCAAAAACGUAAAAAUUAUCAAAAACCGAGCUAAACACAUACCUUAAUCAAGCUUAGACAAAACCGAACCCUAGGAACUCUUUUUCUUUUCUUUUUCUUUUAAGUUUCGGCAAUGGUGAUGAAAAAGAUGAACAAGUGAUGUUUUGUUUUAUUUUUAUUAUCAUUAUUAACAUAAUUACCAAACUAUCCUUAAUGAAAUAAUAUAAAAGCUAAAAAAUGAUAGUCCACUACCGUCCAUACUAUCAUUUAGUGGCCUAAUUUCAUUUUAAGGCCUCCACAUUAAAAGAACAUAGCAAUAUAGCACUUUAACAAAUAGCAAGUCACUUUUAUAAUUUAUGCGAUUAAGUCCAUUUAUAAAAUUAAAUAACCAAUCGGUAAAAUUAAUUUACGAAAAUUUCACACAUGCAUUCUAACAUGCUUUAAACACAUAAAAUAUAAUUAAAAUAUUUUUAGGACUCGGAUUUGUGGUCCCAAAACCACUAUUCCGAUUAGAGUCAAACCGGGUUGUUACAUUGAUGGUGUGUCAUUGACAGAAGGAAUACUUCAUGACAGAAUUUUGAUACAGACCGAUAAUAUGGAUGUUAUUGGGACCAUUAAGGAAUCCUUUUUGAAGGAGUCAAAUUCUGCUUUAAUAAGAUGCAUUAAUCAACUCUUACGGAAGGAGACAAACUAGUCCAUAGAUUAUGUUCCUAGAGAAGACAACAUGGAAGUUGAUCAAAUAUGGAAGUUGAUCAAAUUAUUAAGUUGGCUUUUGAUAGAGAGGAAGUCGGCUAUUUUACAAAAAUAAUACAAAAAAAUAAAAAAAAAUACCUAAAUAUUAUAUCUUUUUUUAUUUACCAAAAUGGUACAAAAAAAAACAGUUAAAAAAAAACCUGAAAGAAGGGCCUGCCACAGGCGGUACCUUUGGUGCCUGUGGCAAAGGCGGCACCAAUUGUUCGUAUUUCGACCCUUUGUUCGUAUUUUUUUUCGGAUUUUAUUAUUUUAAAAAAUAUAAUAUUUUCUAAUUUUAUUAUUUUACAUUAUUUUAGUACAUUAUAUUUGAAAUGUAUUCAUUUAGUAUGUUUUUUAAAUAAAUUUAAAAAAAACCCUUAUUUCGGCCCUUUGUUCGUAUUUUUUCCUGGAUUUUAUUACAUUCAAUAAAAAUAUAUUAUUUUCGUAUUUUAUUAUUUUACAUUGUUUUAGUACAUUAUGUUUGAAAUGUAUUAACUAAUUUUGUUUUUUAAAUAAAUUUAGUAAAAAACCCUUAUUUUGACCAUUUGUUCGUAUUUUUUCCUUAGAUUUUAUUACUUUUAAAAAAUAUACUAUUUUUUAAUUUUAUUAUUUUACAUUAUUUUAGUACAUUACAAUUGAAAUGUAUUCAUUCAGUGUGUUUUUUAAAUAAAUUAAAAAAAAACCCCUUAUUUCGGCCAUUUGUUCAUAUUUUUUCCCCGGAUUUUAUUACUUGCAAUAAAAAACACACUAAAUGAAUACAUUUCAAACAUAAUGUAAUAAAAUAAUGUAAAAUAAUAAAAUUAGAAAGUAGCAUCUUUUUUAAAAGUAAUAAAAUCUGGAAAAAAAAAUACGAACAAAGGGCCGAAAUACGAAAAAUUGGUGCCGCCUCUGCCACAGGCACCAAAGAUACCGCCUGGGGCAGGCCCUUCUUUCAGGUUUUUUUUUAAACUGUUUUUUUUUGUAUCAUUUUGGUAAAUAAAAAAAAGUUAAACUAUUUUGAUUUUUUUUUUGUAUUAUUUUUGUAAAAUACCCGAGGAAGGCUUACAAAUGCAGUUUCUCCUCUAGUUUCUUUUUAGUUCUUUUAUUUAUUUUUGUAACACUUCUUUUAUUCAUAAAAUAAAAAAUCAAUGCUAGGAGCACUUAUAAAUAGGGUUAAUUUCAUUAAAAGUCCUCAAAUUAUAGUUCAUAUUCUAAAUUGAUUUUUAAUUUCAAAUGUUUUACUUGAGUUCUUAAAAUAUCAAUAUUGUAUCAAUCAUACCAUUAUUAGCCUAACCACUAGUUUAGACAUUAAAUGUUGGUUUGGAUUUGAAGUGAAGCAGAUUUUAAACUACCCGAAUCAAAUUGUAAAUACGUUUGUACCUACCAUAUAGGCAACUUAAUUUGAUGUGUUAAAAAAGCAAAUAGUGUAAACCAUUUUCUUAAUAUAUUAGAUCCAAGCUAUUGACACAUGUUUUUAUAAUUUAACCCACGUACUUUAAUUAUGCUCCAUGCUAAAUUUGAGCGGACAUUUAAUAUUUAAAUUAACGGUUAUAUUAUUUAAAAAUGUGAUUAAUAAAAAGUUAGAUAUUUUGGAAACUCUUAUUAAAUUUGAAUACCAAUGUAAAGUUUUGGUGCAAUUUUAUUUUUGUAUUUUGUUUUAUGUUAUAGAUUCAUAUGUUGUUGGAUUUCCUCAUAUUCUAACAAAUCAAUUAAACAAUAAUAUAAACUUUGGAAUGAAGAAACAAAUAUUAUAAAUUAGAAGUAUUCAUGGUUGUCACAUUUAUUUUCCAGACAAAGCAAAUCAAAUAUUUUUGCAUCAUCAUGCAUUUAUUAAAUAAAAGGGUUCAUGAAUAAUGCAUGAAAACUUCCAUUUUUUAUUCAUGAUGUCAAAAAUGGGAUUUCAUGAUUAGAAAUAAAAGAAGAAAAGGAAGAAACAGACCUUUCCUAAGAUAAGCUCAGAUUUGGUCUGGAUUAUGUAGACCAAUAGAAUGAGAUAUGAAGUUAUGAAAUAAAUCCAAAUAUAUUCCAAGAGAAAGGACAUCUUCUUGGAAACCCCUUUCCUACUCUUCCUUCCAUAACCAUGUAGACCAGUCAAUUUUUUUAUAAUAAAAAAUUAAGUCUGCUCAGCUGAUAAUGGGUAAUUUUAGGAUUCGAAUUUGAUCUUAUAAAUAUCUAGGAAAGAAAUUUACUUUCACUUUUUUCAAUCAUUGGUUGAAAUUUAGAGAUUAAUUUUCAGUGUAUGUACUUUUUAAAUAUACGACUAUUUAAUAGUUUUGGGUGAACUGAUGUAAUUUGGUGGAAGAUGUUCUUCGGAUUUCGGAAGUAUCCUCCAUAAAAGAGGCAAACACAUUCAAUCUAAACACGUGCAACAUUCUAAUAAAUUCCAUACAUGUUGACUUUUGAUUACUUACUAUUCCUUAGUUAGAAAGUUUUAAUAUUGACGAGUCAGGGUAAUUGCACCUAUCAAAGAAAUUUAAAAGGCUGUUAAAUGAAUUUCAAUUUGUUAACUAUUACUUACCAAACCUUGUUUUAUAAUUUAAUUUGAUUCUGUAGUCCAAAUAAUCGAGUAUAGUAGUAAUUAGCAAACAAGAAUACUUGUACAACCCAACAAACUAAGGCCAUUCCCAAUGAUCCACAUAUUAAAAUCUUGCCUAUAAUGGAUAAGCAGAAGAAUUUGAACAAUUUGUCCAGCUUUGGAACACUUGGUUAGAACUUAAACUAUAGUUUUUAUUUUGUAUUUUUUACGAGAUGACCAGUCAAAAGCAAACAAGGAGAAUGGGCAUAAAAAUAUUGAACACUCCACUAGGAUUUGAUCUGUAAAAUUAUGCUAAACAUGUUUUUGCUUAAUCCUGGACUAUAUGGGUAAAAAUAGUUGGCAAAAGAAGAAAUGAAACCCCAACAACACAUUACAUUCAUAAUAAUGUAGUCUUAAAACCCCUUAAAACAGAUCUGUCUAAUUAUAUUUUUCUUAAUCACCUAGAUAUUGUAGGUUCUUGAAUGGGAUUUCAACUUUGAUUCAAUCAUGGGCUCAUAAAUAAUAAAGGUAGCCAUGAAAGUUCCCAACUUGAAACUUAUUUAUGUGGCCCUUAAGGGGUCUGAUAGCUUGCAUGGUCAAAAUCUCAGAUCAUGCCCUAUCCAAAUAAAAUGAUUGGUUUUGAAUGGAUUCAUUGUAUACCGAAUGACAAUGAUCCAUGCAUUUAUAACAAGUUUUGUUUUGUGUUGUGUUAUACAUUCAUGUUUUUCGGUUCAUAUCCGUACUAGUACUGGAGAUUAUAUAUAAAGUUGGAUAGCUUUUUAACUAGAAGGUCUUAUUAUCCAUAAUUCUCAAUAUUUUUCAUAUCUAAAACCAAAUGGCGGUAUUCGUUGUAGAUAUAGACAUGGUGCCAAUAAGUGUUGUUAUUUCUAUCUUUUCUCUUACCUAUAAACAUUGAGUAGAGAAAAAUAUUUGAAUACUAUAAUUUAAACAUUACUUGUUGAAUACAAAUAUUAUGAGGAUUUUUGACGCAUAAUAACUUGUGUUGUAUCAUCCGGUGACCACGACGGUGAUUGGAUGAAAGGGAUGGUAAGAGAUAUCCCAAGGGCUUCUAGUGUCCAUGCCGAAUUAUGGGCCUAAAUCUCUUGGAAUUAGUUGUCAUGAGAUCAAACUUGAUGCCACUGCUGUUAUUAAAGCUAACCUUGAUAAUCAAAUGCUCACGAUAUUGAUUCGAGGCUUCUUAUGAAACAUAUGUUUAGAGAAGGAAAUCAAUGUGUUAGGCAGCAACUCUAUGGAACCUCGGACUGCCCAAGUAUUGGAUUUUGGUUUUGUUGUUAACUGCUAUGAACCCUAUUUGUAUUAAAGAUUUGCUACAAUGAGACGUGGUAUAUAUACGUUUUUUUCUCAUUGAAUGUUGGAAUUAUACGAAAUACAUUCAAAUAAAUAUCUAAAACAACGGAGAUCUACUUGGAAUCCCUUUCCUACUCUUCCUCCUGUAAGAAUGUGGAGUUUGAUUAAUUCGAAUCCUCUCACCAUUCAUCUGCAAUAUAAUUUUUAGAUUAAAAUACCGUUAAAUUAAACCUAUUCGAUAUAAAAUUUAUUCAUCAUGUUUGUUGUAUAUGAAAUUAAUGAACUGUUUUUAAACUAUGAUUAUGAGAAAAACUGUGGGUGUUUGUGGAGAGGAACUUACAUGAAGAGUUUGGUGAGAGGGAUGAUGUUCCUUGGAUUCCAAGCAUCCUUCACCCGUACAAUCUAAACAAGACGAUGUAUAUUUAGAGGCAUGGGUCUCACAUAAACUAAACAACUUGGCUUCCAAAGAUGGCAAUACCCCGCUACUUUCAACCUUAUUCUGUUCCUCCAUUCUUAAUUUCUUUAUUUCACAAUUCACAUAUGAAACUCCUCCUAAUAUAUACGUAUUUGUAUUACUCACAUAUAUGAGAAUAAGGAAAUCAUAGUUCUAAGAGAAGUAGGACACAAGUUUUCCAUAUUGUAUUAGGAAUUCCUACUAUUUCCCUUUUUUGUUGGAUGACGAUUUAACUACAUUAAUAACAAAACAAAUUCGAGGGUGACUUUAUGUACUUUUUGUUAUUGCAUAACAUCUGAAAAACAAAAGAGUGAAGUUCAUUAAUACAUCUCUUAUAUUUUUAGUCAAAUAAAUAUAAGUUAGACAAUGCUAAACUUUUGUACCCUUACCCUCAAGCAUUCCCUUCAAAAUUGAACUAAACUAUAACAUGAAAAUUGAGAAUUUCAGUUCAUAGGUGAGGCAAUGGAGGUUGAUUUUGACUUUGGAACAUGGAUUUGCUUUUUAAGUCUGUUCAUUGAUGGGACAAUUGUCGAGAUAAUAAUGGAGGGGUGAUUUGAGGGCUUUGGAAUGUUUGGCUGAAAUUGGUGGAUUUUUAAGGGGUAAUUAAGAAAUGGCCCUAAUUGGUCAUUUUGGUACAACCGCAAGGGACCCUUUGCAGUUGUAGCUGCAGUUUUUCUUUCACCACCUGCAAGAAUUUGCUGAAUGUUAUAUUUUUAAUAAACUGUAUGAACUAGAUAAAUGAAUCAUUGAAUCGUAAAUUGGCAGCAAACUUUAUUCAAAAAACAUUGAAAUUCAAUUUUAUCGUUCAAGAUUUUGAUGUUUGUAUAUGAUACUGUCAAUGUACACUUCUUAAUUUGAACAUCUAAAGAACUGUCAGGAUCUGCCUGCUGAACUUUUUUGUGUAUGAAGAAAGGGUUGGAACUAGGAAGUUGCGAGUCGCUACAAAGACGAAAGGAGCCAAAGGUUGAAGAGAGUUGAAGCAAAGGAUAGAAACCACGACAUGAAAGCCAUAGCUGCAGACAACUGAUAUCUACUGCAUAUCUUUGACGGGCAAUAUGUUGAGCUGACAUUGACCAAGAGACUUGUCACACUAGCAGUUGAGCAAGCCGCGGCUAGUGAGAGAAAUGACAAGGCCUGCAAUCAGAUAAAACACAUGUUUUUACAUCAAAUUAUGAUAAGGGAUAACACCAUGGUGAUGAUAUGCAUAAUAAGCCUUGUAACAUACCCAGUCUCCAACAAUGACAACCAGCAGUACCCUUGGUUGUCGUGGUAAGCCUUUAACGAACACGGAAUAUGCAUCAACCAAUGCUAAUGACACACUCCAUGGAGUCACUAAACCCAUGACUGUCACCAAGUAGCUGCGAAAAAAUUUAAAGGAAAAUUGGAGAUUGAUUUAUCACCCAACAAUUGGUGACCAACAAUGAAAACACAAACAUUCUCUUCUAUAUCAUUAUAUCUAAUGAGCAAUUGAACAUUAUAGUUUGUACCUGCAAUUGAUCGAACAACACCACAGACAAGGCAAGUUUAGACAAUAGAAGACCUUAUCCUAUGGCAAUUUUUUAUCAUUCAAUAGCUUCUGUUACUAGUGCAAGGGCUUUGAAAUUGCAAGAACAGAUACGGUAAAACGGCCACGCCAGUCAUAGCAAAUUGGUACUUAUGGUCUUAUGUUUUUGAAGUACAGAAUAAAGUGGUUAUAUUCAUUGUCUUAAGAUUGAUCCAGAUGGUUUGUGCUGAUCUAUAGAAGUUAGAUAGCAGAUACAGACAAUGCCUCAUUAUCUAGUUUCAUCUUUCCAGAAACAUGCAAAACACGAGGACCCAAGUCAAGGAAUAAAGUUUAAAUGCAAAAGCCAUACAAGACCACUAUCUACUUUUACAAUUCACCUUGUUAACUAUCUUGAUUCCCUUGACAUCAAGCUUAAUCAUCCUUGAUAUUAGCACUUGAUGAGCUAUUUGGUUCCGGCCAUUUUGUUAAUUGCUUAAAUUAAAGCCUUUUUCUUGUACAAAUGCUCCCAACAUUGUGCAUUUUAUACACAAAAAAAGACACAUUUUUUGCAUUUCCAUUCACCUAGUGAAAACUUUUAACAGAGGAAAAGUCCGGAAUCCAGCCUUGGAUAACAAAUAUCAUCAGCAAAUAAAUUAUAUUCUAUGGUCUAGUUCAACAACUAGCCAAGUAACAGGUCAUGUACAUUGAGAAUGGUUUUGAUAACUCUAAUUGUUGAAAGUCCAAAUUCAGUCAUCCAUACAAAAAGCAAUUGAUCUUUGCAUAUCCCUGAAUCAAAAUAGACUCUCAGAUAACUUUACCCUUUCAAUCAUUAAAUGGCACCUUUCCCUGCAGUCAUCCAUAAGCAAGAAGCAAGAUUUCCUGAAAAUGGCUUUUUUUUAAACCUUAAAUUGUUUUGUUUUCAUAAAAAAAAAAAUUCACCUAAUUCAUUUUCUCCCCAAGCCCAAAAGCCCUUCCCUUCAAAUAAUUUCCAUGAAGAUACCAGUGGAACCAGAAGUACUUUUGCUCUCUCCAACAUGGUAAAGCCGCUAUUUUACAUGGCAAAAAGACACACAAAGCUUGCCUAACCUCAAUCCAAAUCCUUAAAGACCAAUCACUAAAAUGAUCACGAUUGUGAUAGUUUUUCCCUGGAGGUUCCCAAAGUAACACCAGAACCAGCUAUUAAAAGUUGACAACGAAUUGAAUUCCGAGCAAAUAUCAGAAACAAAGAGGCAUGGGUAUUGAAGAUUAAAAGCCAAAGAGAGGAAGAAAGAUAAAAUAUGACCAAAUAAAUGGAAGAAUCUUAAAACGUUGACAGUUACCUGAAAGAAGUAUAGCUAUAGAAUUCAACAUCCAAACACAUAAAGAGAAGUGAAGCAGCGGAGAAAACAGUUUGUCCCAAACGAAGAGCCAAGCUGGCGCUUGUUCCCAACGCCCCUGGCACUGCUUCCAUCGUCCCUCAUGUCAUCUUAUCUCUCUGUUUCUUCAUCUUCAGUGUAUUCCCCUAAAACCCAAUAAAAAAGCAGAGGCCAAACACUAGGAGAAGGGAUUGAAGGGAUUGAAACAAUAGAAUUAGAGUAAAAAAGAAAAAGAGAGAAACAGUGGAGUCCUAGGAAUAGGAUGAAGAAAUGGAAAGAGAGGAAAAAGAGGAGAUGGGUAGGGUGAAUGAUGAAGGAUGAAGGAGGAGGAGGAGGCCAAGUUGUUGUAAUGGCGCUUUUGGGUCAAUGUCAAUUCUCUCUCUCAUUCUUAAUUUUACAAAUGGACUGUCCCUCUUUUCUCCAUUUUUGAUUCUUGUAAGUGGAUUCCCGGGGGUUGUCCACUCUUUUGACGAUGUAAAUAAUAAUGUGUCAUUCCUUCACGUAUAUACUACCAAGACACUGUUGAGUUGAAGCUACUAUAUUUUAUUUCUGAAAUGCAAAUGAAAUUCAAAUUGGUGAAAUAUUUAGAAAUUAAACAUUGAAUAAUUGGAACCAUACAAAGUUGAUUGCCGGGCCAAGACAAUUGGAACCCCACAAAAUGGUAUUUAAGAGAGAACAAAUUCCAUUUCUAAAGACGUGGUUCAUCUAUCCUACAGUUUGGAACACCCAUGAUUCAAUCAUUUCCAACCCAAUGUUUAUAAUAUUACUUGUCUAUCUGCUUCUGCUUUUUCAACACUUCCCUCUAAAUUAUACGACUUUCUCUAUUUCUUAUCUGUAUUUAUCAAAACACUACGGCAUCAGUUGACUUGUCAUUUUAGGCACCAAAUGCAAGGAAACUAUAAGUUUAUUCACACAAAACACUAUUUUGAUGAAUUCAAAAUUGUCUACACUUAGAUCAUCUUUCUUUUUCCAGAUUAUUAUUAUUAUUUAUAAAAUUAUCAUUUAAUAAAUAAAUUUCAUAUUUGAAAAUGAAAAAAAUAUAUAUUCAUUUAUUUAUAAAUAUUUUUAUAAUUUUCUACAUAUUUUUACCAAAAAUUAAACUUUUAAAUAUUUUGUUUUAUGUUUUUCUAAUUUCUAAAUUUUAUUUUUUAAAGAAUCAAGGCUAAAUUCACAAAAUGUAUAAAAUUGAGGGUUAAUUUAUUAUUAUGUAAAAAAAAAAGACCACCACUAAUGAGUUAACAAAGGGAUGACCAAAAUAUUAAAUUUUAAACUUAAAAUAACUAAAAUAAAAAUACACUAACAAUUUUGUAGUUUACCUAUAAACAUUUUCUGAAAUUGAAAAGAUAACCUUUUCUAGUUUCAGCCUUUUAUCAGACUUGUUGAAGAUGCUAAGAGGAGUAGUUUUAUUUGGUAUUAUUAUGUGGGUGGUACACUCAUUGAUUUAUUUAGUUAUUUCUUUGGCAAGUGAAGAGUUUGGGAGAGUAAAUUGGACAACAUUUAGGGUGUCAUUAUUCAUUUGAGUGCCAGCAUACUAGACUUAAAUCAAUAGUUGUAUAGAAAAUACUGUUUAAUGAAUUCAUUCUCUAAUCUAGACUCUUAAAAGUAGAAUUGUUUAAUCUAAAUUCGCCUCUUAAGUAAGGAUACCCAGAAGAAAAAGGUCAAGUGAAUCGUUAGGGUGUAUAUGAUUAACUUAUAGUUACUAAUAAAACAAAUAAUUUUAUAUCUCAAGUUCACGAGACAGAAAGAAUUGUAGUGAAAAAGUUUCACUAACAAUUUGGAUGGAAUGAAAUAAUUAUUUCAACUCUAUCCAAACAUCUAUAUAUAAUGUACAAAUAAAUACACAAGUGUCUUUUUGAAAAGUCUUUAAAAAUUUAUCAAAUAAACAAGAUUAUUCGGAUUUAAAAUCAAUAAAUAAACAUAUGUUUUUGACUUAAGGCACCAACUGGGACAUCAUUAACAUCUUUUCUUUCUCCUUUCAUGAUUGCAAAAAUAUAUGCAUAUCACAUAUAUAAAUAUAUAUUAUAUAACUAUGUAUCAAUCAUAACUAUGCAUGUAAAAUAUCAUGUAUAUAAUAAACUAACUUUUGAUUUUCAUAAAACAUUAAUGCAUUAGACAUUAUACUUUUAAAUCAAAUUCAAGCAACAUGAAUAAAAUGAUAAAUUUGACAUACAUGUCCUCGCGAUAAAGGUUUCUUCUAAAUCAAUUUUUGAUAAGAUUAUUGACCUUGAUGCAUUUACAUUUGUCAAUAGCCAUCCUUUUAGUAUCAUGCUUGUAGUGUCGUGUAAAUAAAUACGCCUUCAUUAAUAUCUGAUAAGUUUUCCAAAAAAAAAAAUCUUAAAAUUGUUGGCGUGUGGAGAUAAAAUAAUCUUAUUAGAAAUUAACCGAAGGCUUCAAGGCUUGUAACCAUGCCACUAUUUUUAAGGAUGAAGGAUAAUAAAAAGAAACUUUUGAAGUUGUUCUUUAUAGAACAAUCUAAGAAUAUUAGAAGAUGAAGGAGAAUAAAAGAAACUUUUGUUUUUCAACUUUUGAUGUGAUUUUGGUGUUACAUACAAAUGAAAUUUCACUCCUAUUUAUAUGACAUAACUUUUGAUAUUUAAGUGACAUACAUUAUCACUAUAAAUAGUGACAACUCUUGAUCAAUAAUCAAGUGAUACAACUCUUGAUUACUUAUAACUUUGGCAUAAUGACUUCUUUAACCUUUCAACUUUACAAAAAAAAAUCAUUUUAGCCAUCCAUUUUUUUUUGUUCGUUUUAGCAUUUGAACUUGUAUUUUUUGUCACAUCACCUCAAAAUGGAUGGAAAAUUUAAUGUUUGUUAACUCUAUUGAUGCGGCAUACAUGUAGAUAGCCAUGUAAAUGACAUGUCAACAUUUAAUUAAUUUUUUAAAAUUUAAAAUUAUUAAAAAUAUAAUUUUAAUGAUUUUAAUUUUAAAAAAUAGUUUUAUAUUUUUAAAAUUUUAAAAAUUAAUUAAAUGAUGAUAUGUCAUCCACGUGGCAAUUCACAUAUAACAUUAGCAAAAUUUUUAAAAAAAAUUGACUUUUCCAUUCAUUUUGGGGUGAUUUAAUAAAAAAUACAAGUUUAAGGGCUAAAAAGGCAAAAAAAUAAAUGAAGAGCUAAAAUAGCUUCUUUUUUUGUAAAGUUAAAGGGUCAAAUAAGUCAUUAUGCCUAUAACUUUUCAUUUACAACUAUUAAAACCCUAUAUUAGAAAUGUUACUACAAAUAUUUCUCCUACAUGUGAAAGACCUACAAAAUUAAUGAUAUCUUAAGUUAAGAAGCUGAAACUAGAGUUAAUGAAAUUUCAACCCUAAAAACUCUAGUCUUUUAAUUUCCUAUAGGUAAAGUGUAGUAAAAUCCUGAAGUUACUCUAGGAUUUCAUAUCUUUUAUCUACUCCAAAAACCAUACUUGUGUCUUUUAAUCAAUGACAAAACAAACCCAACAAUUUUAUCCAAUCAUUAGGAUGGGUUUAUACAUGUUUAAUUAUGUUGUAAUUCCUAUAAAUUAUUAUACAACAAUAAAAGUUAUUUUGAAGCGUUCGAUAGCAUCAAGGUAAUUGUUCACCUUAAUCCGAUCGCGUUUGAUUGUUUGCUGAUGUAAUGGCUUGCUUUGGUGGCUAUUGCUCAUUCCUAUGGCUUUGAAUCCUCCUUUUCGUGUUUAGUAAUGGAGGCCUGAUUGAAGUGUAGGUUUUUCCUGAGCAGUUCAACUCGGACUUUAGAUUGAUCGGCUUUGGGGUGAACUGUGACUCUCGUUCAAGUGUACUAAGAUUGUUGAAAGCUUUGGCUCAUUUGGAGCUAUUGCUCUUGUUGCAUGUAAACCUAUUGGAAAAACAUUUGUUAAGGACCCUUCAGCUGUAUCAAGCCCUUUCUCAAGAAUCGUAAGAGAUUUCAUAGCAGCCACACUUGGUUUUGAUUUUGCCCAGGCCCUGUUUUCACGAUCCACAUUGGGGAGAGUUGUACAAGUAUUUCAUCUUCUAAAUGUUUAUUAACUACUGGAUUAUUAUCUACUUCUUUAGGGAUUUUGAAGAAGAUCGUGAUGUUGAAGUACUUGAAGCCACGGUUUUACCACCACUUGCACGGAAGAACCAAGGCCGUUUAUUGAUGAUUUACAUUCAAACUCCUUAAUGAGAGUGAGAUUAUUUAGUUUCCAGGAUUCCCAGUGCUUUGAUCAAAAGUAACAGGGGUUUGUAGUAGAAGCUUAGAAAAUUAUUAUAAGAAGCCAACAUAGUAACAUACAAAGAAGAUAAGGGUUUCUCAGUGGAUUACUGCAAAGUUUAGCAACACUUGUUUAAAAAUUACAAAACCUCAGCCGAGAAUAAACAAAUUCAUACAAGACUUGUUUAUGAAUCAAGCUGAGCAUACCAGACACCAGUGAUCUUGACAUCCUUUGGAGUCUUGGCACCCAAGUCAGUGUCAGAUGGCUGAAGGCUCUCGAACACACCGAUAACUUCACCGGUCUCCGGCUUGCUCUUUGUGACGCUCAAGGUGAUUUUCCCUGAUGAAGAUGCAGCACUCUUGUUGUUCUCCUUGGCUAGCUCUUCCUCAUCCCCUCUUCCUCCAGCAGGCAAGGCCACUGCAUUAUCGUACCCGGUUGAGCCACCCCUUCCCUUUGGGUCCAAGAAAGAUGAGCCACGGUAGGAUGGUACAAGGAAGUCUCCUCCAAAGCUAUCAGGUUUGCCUGAUGCAACCAAUUGCUUGAUGGUGAACAGGAAAGGCACACGCUCACCACCAGGAAGCUGAACUGUGACGGCAGCAUAAUCAAUCCCAUCUUUCUCCUCGAAUUUGACGGUGCCAUCGGUGGAUACCUCGAAAGGGCCCUCGAUUUCGUCAAGGGUGUAGGUUAAACGGGUCAUGAGCUUGGUGUUUUGGAACUCAGGAGGGGCAUUCUUGUUAACACCCUCAGCCUUGACAGUGAAGGAAGUGGGCUCCAAGCAGAACUUCUUGGCGUAGUAUUUGCCAGGCUUGAAGGCAAAAGAGUCGACACCACCAUCGAUGGUUGGGCACUGGUUAGCAGUUCCUGUUCCUUUGACUUCCAUGUAUGUCUUGCUUUGGAUUUCAUCGUAGGUUAGCCGCUUUGGAACUCCUUCAGCGCUUGCUCCCUUCAAAACAAACCAGUCAUUGUAACAUAUUUGUUCAGAUCACGGAUCAUAUAUGAUCCUUAUGUAUGCAAUCAACGAUACUUGGUUCAAAUAAAAAAUCCAAAUGAUAAAGUUACAACACCAUGCAAGCUCAUUAAGAAUCCUACCUAAGCUACAUAAAAAUAAAUACAGAAAUUUGAAGCAAGUGAGAGGCGAGAAGUAAAUACCGAGACAACAAGAGCAGAUGUAGCAAGAGCGAAACCAGCGAGCUUGGUAGCAUCAACACACUUCUGAGCCAAGUCCUUGAGGUCAGUUUGCAAAGAGCAGGUGAGCCUAGCACCAACAGGCUCCAAACCGAAGGCCUUAGAAACGCUCUGGGAGGACCUGAGCAGCACAUUGGUCCUUGAUGGUGCAGCAACCUUGAUUGGUUGCAUCAGGGUAGCUGCAGCUUGAAGUGAGACCGACAUUGUUACGAACUAUUGGAAAACAAAGAAGAGAGAGUUGUUUUAGUGAGAGCGUAGGGGAAAUUUAGGGGCCAAUUAUGUUGGUGGCAAUGGUGAGAGUAAAGAUAAGGGGAUAGGAUAUGGGAAGUUCCCAUUGGUGGAUGAAGGUAAUGUGUUUGGUUUCAGGGUAUGACACGUGGAGAUUUUGUGAAAUGGGAUAAAAAUGGGUGUUAGUCAGAGUGGAUGAUGUGAGGGACUACAGAUUUUCUUAAAGUUAGUUCUGCCAUACAAAUUCCGGUGGUUGCCCUUCCUCCACUGGGGCCAUCAUGCUCAGAGAGUACUUUGAGUUGGAAAUCAUUUGGUUAACAUAUGCUGUUACUCCCUAUAUUUUGAUACAAUUUGAGAUUUAGUCUUUGUACUUAAAAAAUUUUAAAAAUUAAAUCCUACUUUUUUUUCUUAAAAAUCUCAGUGCAAUCAUCAAAAUCACAAGUACUUUCUGUCAAAAUAUUUUAAUUUUUCGUAAGUAUUUUUUUGUCAAAUUUUGUUAACUUGAAAUUCUAAUUAGGUUUUUCUCAUAUGAUUGAUAGAAAAUAAAUAUAUUAAGUCGACAAAUUUUGAUAGAAACUACCAACAAAGAUAAUAAUUGAACUAGGAUUUUUAAAUUGAAAAAUUAGAAUGAUUGAUUUUUUUUACAUUUUAAGUAUAGGGACAAAAUUUUAAAUCCUACACAAGUACAGGGACCAAAUAAAUUUCAUCAGCUUCUGUCGUGUUUGGGUUCCGACUGGGAUGUAAAAAGUGUCCAAAGUAGCAAGCCCAACCCAAACUAGAAGAGAAGUAAAAUCAUAAAAUAAUGAUAAUGGCCCAUCCAGGAAAUUCGCGUUAUUAGCACGACGCUCUAACCAGCUGAGCUAAUAGGCCUUGAUGGCAAAUGAGAUUUUAUUAUAUAAAUCAAGAGGCUACAGGAUUUCGUAUAACAGUUCAAUAAUUCAUACACGUGGAAAGACAGAUUCGUCAUUGACGAUUAUCAACGAGAAUUGACAGUGUUUGUGGGAAAACCAGUCUAAAAUAACCAACCCCUUUCUUUAUUCCUCUGCUUAAUUUAUUCAUAUAUUAGCCCUAUCAUUUCUCUUAAGGCAGCACCCUCUGACAUCUGGCAUGCAUCCACAGCAUUUAUGAAGAUUGCUGGUUACCUGCAAAACAAAACUUUAAAGUUGUUUCAUAUUCAUAUUCAACCAAAAACAUCAAGCUUGGCUUUUUUGUCCCUAGCUCGCUUAUCAUGAUCAUCAUCUUUCCUUUCGCUUUUUCGAAACAACAGGUUUAAAUGUCAACAAAUAAAAAUACCCAUUUUCCCAAUAUGUUGUAGUUGGGUAUUGAAGUAAAGAUUAGACGACCUCAAAGAGCAACUAAAACUAUGACAAGUAACCUCAUACACCAAAAAGUCAAAGAAAAACUAUAACCUGAAACUGGGGUUGCAGGUUGCUGAUUAUUGUUGUUGUUUGUCGCAUUAGUUGUGGAUGGGAUGACAACGCCAGGCCAUGAUCGGCACAUGCAGUGUUUUCCCACAUCUAUGCUGGCAUAGAGGGUGGAUAGAUGUUUCCCACAACCACCCCAAGUGUACUUUCCACAUUGCCUGCAAUCCACCCUGUAACAUAUUCUUUAGGAAUUUCUUCGCUGGCAAGAUUUUUAAAUCUUGUACUGAUAUUUGAUGUUGCUUCACAUCUCUUUAUCCUUCUCCUUUUUCAGUCUUUAUAAUGAAACCUUUGCUUUGAUGUAAUCGAACACAUUGUUGCAUAAUUAGCUAAAUAGUAAAAUAGAAACUUUGCCUGCUUAUCUUCUUGUUUGUAUCGCUUUGCCUAGUUAUAUUCCUGUCGUCCUAUUCACUCGCAACUAUCCUUUCCGCCCCUGUUUUCAUAAUAAUAAUAAUAAUUGUUGAUAGAUAUGUCAAUGCAUUAAAAAAGGUUGGCACUGUUUAAGAUUCACCAAUAGCAACAUAAAAGGAUAAAUGCAUGUGGCAAUACAAAAAUUCCAAUCAGGCUUUUAAAAGUAGGGAAAUGAUUAUAUCUAACCAUUGAUGUACCGCAAUUACAUAUUAGAUACACUACUAGAUGAGAGCUUUGCACGAAAAUGGUAAGAGUUUUUCAGAAGCAUAUUACAGCAGAAUAUAUCAAUUAUGAAUACAGGCAACCAAAACUGUAGUUUGCUACUACAGAUGGUAAGCUUCAACGGCAGACCCCGAUAACUACUAGUUAGGCAUUAUCAAAAUCUAGGACCCAAAAUCAGGAGGCACUGAUGCCGCCUCCCUCAGAUUAUGGGUCAAUUGUAGGUUUCUUUAUUGAGCUCGAUUCUACGGCACCUGCACUCAUCAAAACACGCUUCACUCCUCUUCCUACGAUGCCAAGACGAGUGACCGCCAUGGCCCCAUUUGUAUGAGCAGUGGAAACAGUUGGAGAGUCAAAAUGAUCUACGUUGCUGUUAGCAGGAGACAUAUGUGAAGAGUUCACUGCAGCAGGAGAUGCAUUAUUCUCACCGCCCCUUGACUUGCCAGAUGCCAUUCCCUGGAUUUCUGCAAUAAUUGACUUUGGGUCGGAGAUCAGCUGCUCUAGAUCUUCAAGCUACAAAUAUGAAAAUAGACAGAAUAAUAAAGUAUGUUUUACAUCAUUAUUAUUUAGUUCAAAUAGAUCAUCAAAAUUGCACUUGCCUUCUUUUCCAGGUCUUCAGCAAGUCCAACAAGAUUGUCAAUUUCUGAUUCUUUAUCUUUGACAGAUAGAACAGUCGGAGAGCCCUUAGACAGUUGUUCACCGUCACCCAAUUCAGAGGCAGCUGAAGAUGAUGCUAAUCCAGUGGAAAUCAUUAUCUCAUUCGUGAGCAGUUGCACCCGAGACUUGCAAACUGAGAUGGCCUUCUGACCGUAUGGAAUUGCUUCUUUGGGGUUUGAGCCAAUCUCCAAACACGUACAAAUCCGAAAAUUCCUAAAUUAUAGAGUUAAGCAGCAAAUAUAAAAACUAAAUGACAUUGAAGGGUUGACUUAAGGAGAUCCACAUUUCUUCAACUGACCAAGAUACCGCAUUAUUUAAUUGAACCUGGGACAAUCGAAGAAACAAAGAUAUUUCAACCUUAACAAGGAUACUGUUCAGCUAUUUGCCGGUGAUCUGGUUCAACCAGCUGUUGCAAAAUGGAUAGAGCUUUCUGGUAAUUGCCAAGUGAAGAUUCAAUGUCCUCUAAAGAAGCAUAACAGGAAAAAACAUGGAUGCUUCAAUAAAAACUGGUAAAGAGGGUUCCUCCCCCCCACCUCAACAAAGCAUACACAAGCUACAACGAGCAGUCAAGUACUGACCCCUUUCCAAGUCAACUUCAGCCAAUGCAGAUAAAAUAUCCACUUUCUCCAUGGUGUCACCCAACUGCUGUUUUUCAGCAAUUGCCCUCGCAGUAUCUAGCAUUUUCCAUGCCAAAUCCAAAUCCAAUUCCGAUUCAUCCAUGUCCUCAUUUGCUUCAGCUUCAAUCACAUCAUCAGUGUCGCUAUCGUCACUAUCCUGUCUUUUUCACCUGAAACACAGAACGAAAUCCAACUGAAUGUGUAAAAGAACAGUUAACAAUUUAGUUUAUGAACUAUAACAUUGAUCGUGGAGCAGCUGUUAUGCACAAUUCACAACAAUGUGAACGAAAAUGAAAGAGAUUCAACUACACUGCUCAAUUCAACUAGAGGUAAAUAAUCCCCUCAGAAUACAUACUGCCAUCCUGUUCCGAAUUGCUUCAUACAGAAGCAACUGAAGAUUCCCGAGUUACAGCACUUUUGGUCGGCCCCUCUUUGUUCGAGUCUUGCAGAAUCUCACCAUCCUUUUCCGGAACAGAAACCAGAGGACCAGUCUCCUCUUGAGCCUUGCACAGCAAUGCGCGUCCAUACAGAUAGUACACGUUGAGACAUGCGACUGCAAGUUCACCGUGAUGCAAACCCCUAGUAUGAAAAAACCUUAAAUGGUUAAAUGUAACUUCAACUACAAAUGGCAAUUCACUAAACCUCUGUUUGAUGGGUUUUUUCCCCUAAUUGCACUUUGAAACUAUCUUAAUUACUUCACAUAACAUAAAUUAUAAUAAUGCAAGUUAAUGAAAAAAGUUAAAAUUUUUAUUUUUCUUAAAAGAAAGGGAAAAAAAAAGGGGGUAAAACCAAACCCUGAAUCAUAGAUUUAGUUUAUUUCCUCAUAAAUUAAAUAAAAAAUGGAAAAGAGAUCAGAUGAAGCAGAAAGCACAAGGUUUAAACCUGAUUUCAAGGGCACGGCGAAAAAAAUGGGCAGCUUGGGUGAAAUCGUUUUCUUUAAAAGCCUUGGAUCCUUUCUCCGUCAACUCAUCUGCCAACUCCAGCGCCUUCGCUCGGCCAAUAUCCGGAGCAAUUCCACAGCUUUCAGUGUUGUUCUCAUUAUUGCAUGUAGACUCGGUACCUCCACGAACCGCAGAUUCGAUAGUGGCUUCUUUUGAACCUUGCACUUCUAGGGUUUCCACCUUUUUCGGUUCUGGGGUUGGCUCCGUCAUCGUCACCGGACACCGCCGUAACUUCUUCUUCAGCCAUCACUUUUUUGCUUUAAUAUUUACCGAAAAAUACAAAAGUAUGGAUAACCGAAAACAGGUCUUAGGCUUUCUCUUGCCCGCCUUCCAGAAAUCCUUUCUGGCGGAAAAUCGAGGUUUGAAAGGAAAGACUGAAACCUUGAACGACAAGCUUUGAAGGAGAGAAGUGGAGGAAGGGUACUUUCGUAAUUGAAAGGAAAAAGGUUUCUUUUUUGUCAAAUUAUUAUCAGUGUCAGACGAUUCUGUCAUUUUGAUUUCGAAAGGUAAGGCUCUGAGGAAAUGAAAGCAAAAAAUGGCUUCCACAACUCUUUCUCUCAGUCCGCUGUAUGUUUUUAUAUAUAAUAUAAUGCUUGCUGGAAUUAUAGAAUCUUGUUGAUGGCAUAUAUUUAAGAUGAUAAAAGGGAGCUGAUAAGAUAACAAUCUUCCAAACAAAACGAUUAUAGUAUUGUAAUCACUUUACUAAUCGAAUUAAAACACUUUCUGGGUUUCAACAUUGAUUAACAUUUUACGAAAAGAAAAGAAAAUUUUUAUAGGAUGAAUAGUAUUCACAAAGCAGUUGUUGUUCAGGUCUCAUCAUUCUCGCCGAGAUGAAUUACCCAACAAGCUGUUUGUUGAAGGUGAGCUCUGUCCACUUGACCAAUGAUCUUGUACUGAUAUAGGAGACCUAUUUUUUACUUCUUCUAAUGAGGUGGUUAAACAUUCUCCUUCCCUUUGCUUCAACUUCAUCAGUCUCCGGCUUCCCACAUCGGACAUCUUUGUUGACUUGUUGAAUGAUUUCUCACUUUCUUCAUCUGAGGAAGCUGCAGGAGACUCUAUGCACAUGCCUGGAACCCAAGCGCUGAGUCUGAUGUGUUCUAGCUCUUCCGCGACUUCGAUCAUGGUUGGCCUCAUGUCCCGAUGAGGAGCGAGGCAUCUAAAUGCUAGCUCAGCCACAUUAUGAAUUGAUGAAAGUGUCCAAGCAUCUCUAUGUGGAUCAAGGUAUGGAUCAAUUAUCUCAUCCACGCAGCCUCUUCCUAUCCUAUCGAUAGCAAGUGCAGCUAAGUUUACCUCAUUAUGAGCGCGUGAAAAGUCAACCACUUUCAGCGCAGUUAUUAUCUCCACAAGAACCACCCCAAAACUGUAUACAUCACUUUUAUCUGAAAGAUGGAAGUAUUGAUGGUAUUGAGGAUCAAGAUACCCUGGUGUUCCUUGAGGGGCAGUUGAGAUGUGGGAUGAUUCAGCCAUCCCAAGCCUGGAAAGACCAAAAUCAGCUACCUUUGAUCUAUAGUUGUAAUCCAAGAGAAUAUUGCUAGACUUAAUAUCUCGGUGAAAAAUAGGCGGAUUCACGGAGUGAAGAUAGGCAAUAGCCUUAGCAGUUUCAGCAGCUAUGGUGAGCCUUACUGUCCAUGGAAGUCCUGAACCCCUCUCUCUUUGUAGAUGCUGUGAUAAAGUUCCAUUAGGCAUAAACUCAUAGACCAGCAUAGGUUCACCCUCCUCCAUGCAGCAACCUAAGAGGCGAACAAGAUUUGGGUGACUGACCGAGGAAAGGAGCUUAAUCUCAUUCAUUACUUGGUCAAUACUAUCAGGAUCUCUAUAUCUGAACCUUUUUAUGGCAACCCAGUCAUCGCUGUGGAGUUUCCCUGCAUAAACUGUACCAUAGGCUCCAGUUCCCAGUCUCUGUUUAUCACAGAAGCCAUUAGUAGCUCUUUCAAUUUCUCUAUAGGCAUAGCAAGGAACACUUGAAUUGCCUGCGGCUUCGGAUAUAAGGCGCUUUGCACUCAUCUGUUUGUUGAUGUUAUUAGAACGCCUUCGCAAAUAGAAACAUACAAGAGCCACAAUACCCAUUAGCAAUGCCCCACCAACAAGCCCUAAGAAAUUAAACAAACAACGUGGUCCAUUAGUUACUUAGAGAAGAGAACACAGAAUCUGUAAGAGGGAUGGAUGAUGAACACAUUAAUACAAUUAUUUUGAAUUACAGCCAAAUUACCUCCAACCAGAACACCAACUCUUGUAGUUCCCCCGCAAUUGCCAGAAAUGUAUUUUGAAGCAUUGCAGCUAGGCACUGAUUAAUGUUGCAUUCAGAAACAUAUUGUCAAAAACUAUAGGCAUGAAACCGAUAAAAUAUGCAAAAGUCGACUUUCCAAUAGACAAGCACCGAUCAGAAUCAAGAAGACAUUUGUGUAUUUGUUGCUAAAAUAUUUUCAUAAAUGUAGUGCAUAGUUGAUAGGAAGAUCCUUCCAACAAGUUGGUUUACCAAAGAAGUUAAAUUUCGGCCAUAUUUCCUAAAUUACAAAUCUUUAUAUUUUAGGAGGUAUGAAUUACCAUAUCCAAAUCUACUUUUAUGCAUGCCCUUAACUUCCACGAGGGAGCCAAGUCAAAUAUCAGACAAAGAUGUAAGGCAGAACAGUACAUUGUGCCCAAGAAUGGAAAACUCCAUUAGUUUUACCAAGUCAACAACGCUGUUUUUUGUUGACGUUGACCUCAUUGUUGCCUUUCUUGAAGAGGCUUAGAAUUAUGGAUUAUGAUGAAGGUGAGCGAUCAGUUGGCCCUCACAGCCAAUUUUAGCCACCAUUGAGGUUGAACAUUCAUGACACGCAUUACCGGUAAAAAUAAGUUUCAUCCUUUUGGUGCAAUUCAACCACUAAAUAAGAUGCAACUUUACAAGCAGAAACUCUUGAUCUUGGUUCGUAGUAAUGCCAAAAUUUGAUGAACCAUAGUGCAAAAGCAUCAAAUUGUAUAUGAUUUCACCAAGAGAUCAACUCCUACAAUUCUACGCCAUUUUCUUUUCAAAUGUAGUUAAACUGUUAAAGCUACCAUUUCUAGAGAAACAUUACUAGUCAAGAAUCCCACAAUAAUUUUGCUCUAAAAUCCAAGUCAAAAAAAAAAAAAAAACAAACCCGACAAAAUAAAAUAACAAGUAAAACAAAAUCUUAGACUUGGAAGCGUUGACUAACCUCUCCGGCAACCACCGCCUUCUUUGAAUCCAUCUCCUUCAAACCCUUCCUUGCAAAAACACUUACACCCCACCGUCUUGUUACCAUUCUUGACGUCCGUACGGUUAGCGUUUGGGUCGCAAUUACAGUCUUUAACCCACCAUUCCAAUUUAACUCGUUCCAAAUCCACAGAGACCGCUGAGUUCCUCGCCGGGUCAACUACAAUAGCGGUCGAGGAAAACAAGAAACGGCACUGCGUUUUAUUAACUUCCUCGAAACUCAACAGCCGGACGCCGUCACCACCGCUGGAGAAACAGCUUAUGUUGUCACUCCUAGCAGCGCAAGGGCCAGCUUGAAACGACCUUUCUAGAAACAUUGGCCUGAUUUCACAAGGACCUGGUAAGGGGUUGGAACAGUUUUGGAGAAGGAGAGUGUUGUCCACCGAGAGCGCGUAGUUCUCACCGGAGAGAACGGCGAGUGAAGCAAGCGGUCGGUAGCAUUUGGCGGGCAGGUCGAUGAUGAUGUCGUUGGAAGUUAUGUUGAGGACAUGGAAUUCUCCAAUUCCGACCCCGGUCGAGUUGCAGUUGAGUUGGAUGGGGCAACCCGGUGUGAACCCGAAUGGAAAGGGUAUGGGGCUUGAGAAAUUGCUGGUUUCGCAGGAGCCUUGGCACUUGUUGUUCUCCGAGUUAACUGAGUUUGCUCGGUAGAUAACAAAAAGAAAUGUUAUGGUUAUUGAGAAGGGUAAUUUUGCAUAGCACGACAUCAUUUUCGAUUCUCAAAGAACAAAACAGAGCAACAUCAGCUUCCUACAAAAAAGAAAAACAAGCUUGAAUAAGAGGAACAGAGUAAAAAGUAAAAUAUGUAGGUAUUGAAAAAAAAAGAGGGAGUUAUUGAAGGGGGGGGAGGGAGUUAAAGCAGAUCGAUUGAUGGCGUUGGGAAGUCCAUCAAAACUCAAUAAAUGCUAAUACAAAGAAAGGUCAAUGCAUUGUAAAUUCGGGAAAUUUCUUUCAAAAAGGAAAUUUUUAAUGAAUGGGCUUGGUUUAGUUGAGAAUAUUUAUGAGCUUACCUUGUUAUUGUUUCUUCUUCAAUGGCUGCAACAAUUGCCUCUUCUUUAUUCCAAUAACAGAGCUUCAAAUAAAUAUCUGAGCUUUGCUAACGCUUCUUUAGAAGUACUUUGAUUUUGGGUUUUUGGUUUUCAUUUCAAAUCAAACAAGAAAAAAAAAAAGAGAGAAUUUUGGAGAAGAAGAGGAAAUGGGAAAUGAGUUGAAAGUUUUUAAAUAUAACACAGAAAGAGUUGUUAAAACUCCAUUGACAAGUGUAUAGUGAAUUAAUUAUUAUGAAAUAACUGUUUUACCCUUUUAAGUUCGGGAGCUGAGGGAAAUGAUUAGACGGAAAUGUCCUUCGAAAAGUAGGUUAAAUUACGGAGAUAGACCAAACCAGAUAUUAUAUUGUGGGUCAGCACCGCACACAAUAAAAAAGAGGGUUUCGAGUUUUGACUAAUAACAUAGAUAUAUAUAUUUUUUAAUAAAUUUAAAUACAAGUAUAAAAACAAUAAUAUUUUAGCAAAUUUUAAAUUGUAUUUUUUAUUUAAUUAAUUUUUAAUUUUAAUUCAUCGAUUAUGUUUUAUUUAUGAUUUAUAUUAUAAACAUUGACGUAGAAUCUUGAAUUUUAAUCCUAUAAAUAAAAACAUAACUCUUAAAACAAUUUUUUUCAAUUAAAAUCCAAUGAAAUUAGUCAACGAGGGCUUAGUAUCAUCAACAAAUGGCGAGACUCUAGGUUUUAAGUGUCUAGAUUCGAAUCUUAUUAUGCACAAUUGUCAUGUGUAAGUAUCUCAAUCUUAACAUGUGUAGUUUUUAUAAGUGGAUUUUGUUAUAUUAUAUUUUGAUUUUUUAUGCAUUUGUAAUUGUAUUGGUUUGAUUAUACACUUCAACUUAGGUUAGUUUUUCUCUGUUUUUCUUAUUUUUAAAUCAUUUUUGUAUUUGGGUGGGUUGGCUUUUUUUUUAUGGUUUGAAACCAUUAAUUUGAGCUAAAGAACAGUUCUACCAGUUCAGAAUUUGUUGGUCAACCCUAAUUCUGAGUUGCUCACUCUAAAACCAAUCUAACCCCUUUAACUAAAUUAAUAUAUUAGUUAAUUCUUGAUUCAAUUCAGUUUUGACAAUAUUACUUUAGGUGCCAACAAGAGGUUUAAUCACGGCUCCCUUACAUAAUUGGCACUCCUUCCUUACUAUAAUAAAGAUAUACUAGAUUAUCACGCACUAGGUGAAAAAUUAUAUAAUAAAUAUAUUUACUAAAAAUGUAUAUAAAAAUAAAAAGAACCUUAAAUGUAAAAAUUAAAUAUUUAAAAUUCGUUGUUUCAGGAGUUCAAAUUUUACUAGGGUUAAAUAUUUAUUGAUUUUAUAUAAAAAUAUAAAAUGAAAAAAAUAUCUUAUAAAAAUUAAGAUUAUUUUAAUAAUCUCGUAACAAAAAAUUAUUAUGAUAAUUUCUCAAUCGAACUCUAUUCAAUUGGCUCGUGACAUUAACUCAUUUAAUAUAAGUAUAGAUAUAAAAUAUUGUUAUAAUAAGUAUGUGGCCUCUUUUUUUCAAUUUAGUGAUACUAUUUAAUUUGUUAUAAAAUAAGUUAUACUGUUUAAUAUAUUAAAAGUGGAUUAGACUUUGAUUUAGCGGUAAAAAUUAAGGUUUUUUUUGGUAAAGGUAGAAACUUUAAUUUAAUUUCAUCUAAUUAUAUUUUAUUUUUAGAUAAGGUUUCAUUACUUUAAUGGUGAUAGGUGAAGGUGAUAAUUGAUUAUAAUUAUAAUUUUAAAAUAUAAAUAAUAAAUCAAAUCAAAUUAAGCUCAAAAUUUUUAUUACAGAAAAACUAAUCCAAAUUGAGGACUUGUCUUUUUCAUUUUUCUAUUUGGAGAAGAAGUCAAGAGGUUUAAAAG
rnacentral:lncRNA from 1 species